rnacentral:lncRNA from 1 species
AAAAAAUAUAAGUACAUUUACAUUAAUUUGUUUGAGAAAAGAAAAUUCUGAAAGUGUAAAUAUUUGGAAAUAAAUUAGAAUUUUUAUCUGUGCCAUUUUAGGAAAAAAGGCUCAAAAGAGAAAUGAUAAAAUUUCUUUCAUUUUAGACUAUAUGCAUAAUAUAAGAGAAAAAUACAAAGAUUCUCUGAAAAGAUUGUUAAAAGUACAUGUACUCUCUUUAGUUUGAAAAUCACUUUCUUACUUCCCUAAGGUUUGAUAGAACCUUACGAGUACUUUAACAGAGGAGUUUCAUUUGAGGUUUGUUGGAGUAAUACUGUAUACAUUUUACUACUACAAUAAAAAAUUAUGAUGACAAAAAAUGUGAAACUAAUGAAAAAGAUUUUAAAAUGAUGCUUUUGAUUACACAAUUAUUAGAGGGUGAAAAGCCUUGCCUUAGUCCGAUUUAGAGGGUAAGUAAAGGUAAGUCAAAAAGCUCUUCUUGGAUACUAUGAAGGCCACACAAGAACAUUACCUUCGGAGAAAAAAAUUUGUUACACUGUUUGUUGAUGGAAUUUUUCCAGGUUGUAGUGUCUUUAAUCUCAAGCAACAAUUUGUCAGAUGUGGGAGGGUGGUUGAUUUUUACGUCUCCAAAAAUCAAAUUUCUAAAUGGUUUGCACUUGAGGUAUUCCACUCUAUAUGUUCAAAUGGCAAGGUAUGAUCAAAGAUCUCAUGUUAGUUCUAAACCCACCACUCAGUACAUAGAAAAAGGUGUUAUCUGCAUAGAAGACUUUAGAGAUGGACGAUCUCAUGUAGAGGUUGUUAAUAUGUCAGUCAAAUCCUCUCAGUUAAAGGAUAACAUUGUAUCAGAUGGUCAAAAAGAAGAGGCUUUAAAAUCGCUUGACAUCCUUGAUUACAAUCCUGAAAAUUUAGAUUUGGAGAGAUAACAACGAAAUGUUGUUGGGAUAGUUAGAUAUCCUGAUACUAUAAAUGCCAUUAACCAAAUCUUCUCAGAGGACUUUGAUGAUUGUUCUGUCCUUAUCGUGGGUGAGAAUAUGAAUCUUUUGACUUUGAAAGCAAAGAAAGUAUGUUAUUAUCUCUGGAACUUGGUCAGGAGUGGUCUCAAAAUUGGUUCACGUCUAUUACACCAUGGAAGCCUAGCUAUAUAUGCCAUUCAAACCUUAUUUGGUUGAGAUUGUCAGGUAUUCCACUUCACGCUUGGAAUUCUAAGUGUUUCUCUUCCAUUGGAAGUUUAUAGCGUGAGGCUUUUAAGCUUGAUGAUUUUACACUAACGAAAAAAGGUUUAGAUGUAGGUAGAGUCCUGAUUUUAACAAAUGAUUAUAGUGCCAUUCUUGAUGAGAUUAAGGUCACUGUGGGUGAUAUUGUUUACUCCAUUAAAGUUGUUGAACAUGGAUACUUUGAAAUUUUCACUAGUCCUCACAGAUCAUGCAGACCUGGACAACUCAGUUUUCAUGGAUGGCGGUGAAGAUGUUUUCUCUCCUCAAGGCAAAGAUUCCCCUAGUAACUCAAAAUUUGAAAAUGAUGGUAAUUUUAUGGCUUUGGAUGUAGAUAACACUGUUAUUGCAACUGCUGAUACACCUAGAGAUUCUAAAGAAGCAUAUGAUGUCGAUCUUGGAAAUGAGACAAAUUUGGAACAAUUAUGGGCAUGCAGAGUUAAAUACAGAUGUUGCAAUUAAUUCUUCUUUAGAACCUCUUUUGAAUAACGAUGAAACAGAACAAUUAAAUCUAAAUUGAAUCAUGUGGUUGAUGAGUCCAAUCUAGUGGAUCAAACUAUUGAUACUUCUACAUCUCUUAGGAUAUCAAAUGGCCCAUCAGAUACGCUUAGGGAUUCUAUUGGUGGAAAUAUCUUAACUGAUCUUCGGUCAAAUCCAGUUUCUAUUGAGCUUAUGAGCAAGAGUGAUAUAGACGCUGAGAAACUUUUCAACGUUGAAGAUAAAUUUCACCUUGUUACUAUUCGAGCAGGUAAAAGAAGGAAAAAAAGUAAGGCAAAAUAUUGAUCCAAAAGCAGGUCUCGCCAGAUAAAGACACCUCUAGUUUCCAUUGUUCAAGACCACUUUCGGAUGAAGAUAUUGGUUCUCGAAAUAGAGCUUUUCUAGAAGAGGCUGAGAAGAUUUGGGAAGUUGGUAAAUUAUUGGGUUUAUCCGUAAAUGAAGACGAUGGUUCCAUUAUUCAACGUAUUGCUGGUUUAGAAAGACAAGAUUGGGGGGAGCUUCAUCAAGACUGAUACAAAAGGGCUUUGUCGAUUUAAAGGUUCUAAUGAAUUUGGUCUUAUUUACAAGCUUUAUCAAUACUACAGUUAAGGAAUUUGGCAAAAGGUAUUUUUAAAGUUGUGUUUGAAGGAUAUGAUAGUAGAUAGGAGGUUAAUAUUGGGAGUUUUAACGUUUUGUUAUUUGAAUGCAUUUGGGAUAUGGAAGUGGCUAUGGUGGCUGUUAACUGGAGUAAAAAGAAUCAUCGACCAUGAAAGUUGUUGUCUAUAUUUUCUGAAAUUGUGAUGCUUUGGAGAUCAAUUGGGGCAUCCAGUUUGAUGAAAAUUUUUUUAAAAGCUGAAUGAUAUGGUAGAUGUCAUGGCAAAGGUGGGUGGAUAGAGAGAUUUUUUUUUUUUUUUGUUCGAGGCAUGGUGGUGAUUUUGUUCUGUAAGGGAUAGUGGUGUUUGCUCUCAUUAUUUGUUUACCGAUCAUGGUAGUGUUUUUUUUUUUUUUUUUUUUUUGCUUGGAUGUCAUGAUUUCUUCUUUUUAGGUGGAAGUCUUUCGUUAGAAUUGUGCUAGAUGUUUUUAUGUUGUUUCUGGUAUGGCNNNNNNNNNNNNNNNNNNNNNNNNNNNNNNNNNNNNNNNNNNNNNNNNNNNNNNNNNNNNNNNNNNNNNNNNNNNNNNNNNNNNNNNNNNNNNNNNNNNNNNNNNNNNNNNNNNNNNNNNNNNNNNNNNNNNNNNNNNNNNNNNNNNNNNNNNNNNNNNNNNNNNNNNNNNNNNNNNNNNNNNNNNNNNNNNNNNNNNNNNNNNNNNNNNNNNNNNNNNNNNNNNNNNNNNNNNNNNNNNNNNNNNNNNNNNNNNNNNNNNNNNNNNNNNNNNNNNNNNNNNNNNNNNNNNNNNNNNNNNNNNNNNNNNNNNNNNNNNNNNNNNNNNNNNNNNNNNNNNNNNNNNNNNNNNNNNNNNNNNNNNNNNNNNNNNNNNNNNNNNNNNNNNNNNNNNNNNNNNNNNNNNNNNNNNNNNNNNNNNNNNNNNNNNNNNNNNNNNNNNNNNNNNNNNNNNNNNNNNNNNNNNNNNNNNNNNNNNNNNNNNNNNNNNNNNNNNNNNNNNNNNNNNNNNNNNNNNNNNNNNNNNNNNNNNNNNNNNNNNNNNNNNNNNNNNNNNNNNNNNNNNNNNNNNNNNNNNNNNNNNNNNNNNNNNNNNNNNNNNNNNNNNNNNNNNNNNNNNNNNNNNNNNNNNNNNNNNNNNNNNNNNNNNNNNNNNNNNNNNNNNNNNNNNNNNNNNNNNNNNNNNNNNNNNNNNNNNNNNNNNNNNNNNNNNNNNNNNNNNNNNNNNNNNNNNNNNNNNNNNNNNNNNNNNNNNNNNNNNNNNNNNNNNNNNNNNNNNNNNNNNNNNNNNNNNNNNNNNNNNNNNNNNNNNNNNNNNNNNNNNNNNNNNNNNNNNNNNNNNNNNNNNNNNNNNNNNNNNNNNNNNNNNNNNNNNNNNNNNNNNNNNNNNNNNNNNNNNNNNNNNNNNNNNNNNNNNNNNNNNNNNNNNNNNNNNNNNNNNNNNNNNNNNNNNNNNNNNNNNNNNNNNNNNNNNNNNNNNNNNNNNNNNNNNNNNNNNNNNNUUACUGAACUAGCACAAAGGCACCACAGUUUGUAUUUACAUCUCCAUAGAAAUGAAUAUUUCCAUCACUGUAGACACCGGUUUUGUCCGGGUCUACUACCAUUUUUUAUAUAUAUAUAUAUAUAUUAAUAUUUAUAAUAAUAAAUAAAAAAAUUAAAAAUUAAAAAAAGAAGCAGAAAAAAUUAUAAAAUAAUAAAAUAAAAGACAAAGUCAAAAAAACAGGGGGGUUGGUGCGGCGCCGCUGCCGCCCCCUGGCAGCCACCCGACCAGCCCCCAACCAACUCUCCUAGCCACCCUACUAGCCACCUGCUACCCACCUCAUACCAAUUCCCUUUUAAACCCGAAAAAAAUCGACAGAACAGAGGUAAAAAAAGGAGGAGAUCCUCAACCUCGUUCAAAAGAAAAAAAAAAACAAAAAAAACAGAAACAAAAAAAAAACACAACAGAAACAGAAAACAAAAAACACAGUCCUCGCCUAUUCGGCGAGGAACCCAGCGCCAAAAAGCCACCUGCAAAAGCAAAAAAGGAAAAAUCGUUAGUAUUUCAACAAAAAAAAAAAAAAGAGAGAGAGAAGAAAAACCGAAACUUUGAACCUCGAUCUACGCCGAUCGGGGUUGCUUUUGGCAGAACGGACAACGGAUCUGGGAUCAGGAGGCUGAACAGAACCUCCUGUCCCCUUUUCAAAUUUCUGACCACCGUCGGCGACGGCCCCCACGGCGGCCGGUGAGGCGGCCGGCGACCACGCGGCGGCCGGACGGCAUCCCUCUCCCCUGCUCUCUCUCUCUUCCCUCUCUCCCUUUUUUUUUCUGAAAACCAACCCAACUAACCAAAAAAAAUUUUCUGACCUUUUUAUAUAAACAGCCAAAAUCAAAACGACGUCGUUUCAUUAAAGCCUCAAAACGACGUCGUUUUGAUCCAGAGGAUCCGCGCGUCAACCCGCGACCCGACCCGGGGUCGCGUGCCUGACCCGCGACCCGUUUCUUCUUCAGCCUCUGACCGGUCUGACUGGACCGGUACCGAACCGCCCAAACCAAGUCGAACCGCCAGUGAACCGGAUCGAACCGCCCAGACCGCCCGAACCGCCGAACCGGUCGGACCGCCCUGACCAGCGUUGACCGGACCGUUGACCGGUCCGGUUCAGGUAAAAAAAAUUUUUUUUUUUUGAAUUUUCUAAUAUUUUUUAUUAUUAUUUUGUUAUUUUUAAAUAUAUUUUUACGUGAUAAAUUUAUAAAUUUGUUAGAAUAAAUGUUUAAUUAUUUUUAUAAUAAUAAAAUUAAAAACAAAUAAUAAUUAAAAAUAUAUUAAAAUGCUUAAAAAAAAUUAAUUUUUGUUAUUUUCCCUGCCUAGAUGUUGGAGGGAAUAAAAAAUAUUUUUUUUCUAAAAAAUAAUUCGGCCUAGAUGUUGGGGAAUUAUUAUUAAUAAAUUUUAAUAAAAAUAAAUAUAAGAAAAUUUUAAAUUAAUUUUCAAAAAUCAUUAAAAUCGAACUUGCUUCGAAAAUCUGCCUAGAUGAUGGGGAUUUUAGAGAUGUUCGUAUUUUCUUAAAAAUGAAACCUUAAGCACUAUUUCUUAAUUUCCAAAAUCCUAGGUUUCUAAAACCCCUAAAAAUCCAAAAUCCAUUAAAUCCAAAAUCUUUGAAACCUAAAAUUCUAAAAAAAAAAAUCCCAAGAACUCGUGUGAAAAUUCUAUUCGAAGCAAUUUGUUUCCGAAUGCCGCCUAGAUGAUGGGGUAUUUAGGAAAUUUUACUUCGCGAAAUCUUUUCACACGAUUUCUUAAUUCACAUUAAUAAUAAGAUUAAUAAAUUAAAAAAAAAUAUAAUAAAAUUGAGAUCCUGAAUAUAAGCUCUGCCUAGAUGUUGGGAGUUAGGGUGGUCCCAUUAUAUUUAAGAAUCCAAUCUUUUGCAUUUCAUUUUACAUGGACAUGCAUUAACAUGAUAUAUAUUAGCAUGUUAUCAUUGAUAAUUGAUUGCAUUAUUCUUUUUUUUAAUUUAUUGAUAAAAUAUUUAUAAAAAAAAUGAUACUAAAAAAAAAUCUUUCGUGAUAUUACAAAAUAAAACAAAAAUAAUAUUUCGAAAGAAAUAAUUUUUGGUUACUCUGCCUAGAUGUUGGAGAGUCACUAAUAAUUAUUUUCUAUAAAGAUUGCUAUUUUAUUUUAAGGAUUAUUGUGUUAAAUCUUAUGCGAGAAGAGUUAUUUUAAAUUCUGCCUAGACGAUGGAGAAUUUUAAGAUAAUUCUUUAACUUAAAGAUUUUCUCAAUAUUUCUAAAUAAAAAUUUUAACAAAAAUAUUUUUAAAUAAAGGGAAUUAAUGUUAAAUUUCAAAUUAAAACCAUUUUUAUCCAACGUCAAAAAUAGCGCAUAAUUAAAUGGUACCAAUUUAUGGGCGUUGUGGGGGUGCUAAUCCUUCCCCACACGUAACCGACUCCCGGACCCAACCUGGUUUUUCGUAGACCAAAAUCUAUCUUUUUGAUAAAUUUUAAACCCGUUUUAAAGUUUUAUUAAAAAGAUAAACAUAUGGGUGGCCAAUCACACCCUAACAAAGAUUGGUGGCGACUCCCUUUUAAUUUUUUUUUUCUCGAUUUUAAAACACCUCAUUUUUACGUCUGGCGGUCCCCAAAACCAUUACGACAGCUUGGCGACUCCGCUGGGGACUUAUUGAGAGUCAGGCCAAAAUUUUAAUUAUGCGCUAUUGAUGAUGGUUGAAUUUAAUUGAUUUUAUUUGAUAUUUAAUUUAAUUUCUUUUAUUUUUCGAAAACAUUCGAGCUAAUAAAUAAAAUAAAUUGUAUGAUAGUUAUUAAUUUAUUUUGAUUUUGUGGUUAUGAUUUAUUCAUGUUAUUUUGAUUUCUUUACACACACUUUGCAUAUUUACUUGUAUGCAUGAGCUCUAGACCCGGGCUCCAUCCCUUUUAGGAGGAAGUGAAGUAGCUACGCUCUCGUGAGGUGAUAACCUCCGCAUUUGCUAGCAAAACACUUCCACUCAGAUUGAACCCUUUCCGUUAGUAGCCUAUAAUGGGCGAGGAUCGGGGAACCUUACUAGUCUAUAAUGGACGAUGAUGUGAGGAAUAGUCUGGGAACCUUUAGACGCAUAAACUUUAACCCAGCAUAUCGUAAGCUAUGUGAACCUUACCGAUCUUUUUAUGGGAAUAACCAGAAAUGGUUGAUAAAAGAAAAGCAUUUCCUAAAAAAAAAAAAAAUUUUUCUCUUUACAUGCAGUUCAUUCAUUUGGUAAUUGUUCAAAUUUUAUAAUUUCAUAAAACAUUUUAGAAUAAAGUGAUUUUUUUUUAAAGCAUUAUCCAACAAACAAAACAAAAAAACAAAAAGGUUUUCAGAAAGAUUAAAGAUUUUUCUUAAAUUGGCCCAAUCAAAAAUUAAUUUUCAUAUCCUAGUUAUUUUGUUUUUCCUUUUUAAAAUUUUUAUUUUGUUUCAUCUUUUGCAUUUCAUACAUCAUAAAAAUAAUACAUGUAUCCCAUCCCAUAUACAUCAUUAAAGGUAGUGUCAUUAGGAUGACACAACACAAGCAUUACAUAUCAUGUAAAAAUAUAAUGAGCACUUGAUAGGUUCAUGCAUUUCAUACAAGUAUGCUGCAUUAGUUAUAAGAAUACAUUUCACCGUUCAUGUAAAUAUGUCGUUACAUUUCAUACAUAUAGAUUCAUAAGGUCGUAUGGAACAAACGUUACAUUUCAUAUCCCGCUAUCCCUGCAACAUAAUAUUUCUUGCAUACACAUUCAUGGUUGAUGAAAAUUUUUAUUUGGGUCUUUGUACAUAUAAAAAUUCAUCGUCAUAAGUAUAUAUGCAUUCCGUGACAUUCUCAUAUUCAUGUAUUCAUAAACAUACUUUGUGUGUUUUUGUUUUUGUGAUAUUCAUUCAAUAAAGUAAUAGUCUAGAAUUUUUUGUCUAAGUCCCGAAAUAAAAUGACUGUCUUGGUGGGGUUCAGAGUGACGAAAAUGGGAGAUCAAUUGGAAGCAAGAUUUAGUACUUUGGAGUUGAAUCAAGAGGAAUUAUGGCUUGAGCUUCGAGAGAUGAAACAACAGAUGGCUCAAUUAAUAGAAAUGGUUAGAGGUAGUGAUGGAGUUGAGUUUGUUCCUCCUCAAAAACCGUUGUCAUUACCGUCAAGUCAAGGUCAAUUGGCUCCCGAUAGUUCCAACACUCUGCCAGAGUAUGCUAAAGCAUUGGAUGAUUUGAACAGUGAUCAAAGUUUGGGCGAACUUAAGAGAGGAAUGGGUGAACUAGCCACACAAAUGACUGAACUUAAGAGUUUGAUUUCCAAUAAGGAGUCACCUGGCUUCAAACAACCAUCACCAACUAUCUCAAGUCCUAACCCAUACCUAAAUCCUCCGUAUGACCAUUUUCAACCUCCUUUCCAAGCACCUAGGAUUAGACCCCCAAUUUUCAUGCAACCACUAAGAAUUCCACGCCUGAACCCAUAUCCACCAUCUCAUAUCUCACAAUCAUCUGUUCAGCAUACUAUCCCGUCACUACCUUUUGAACCCAAUCUUCGACCCAGAGUUUCUCAAUUCACCUCGAGACCAAUUAUACCAGCACCUUUUCAGCAAAGUAAACCAACCAUAGGACAGAAAAACUCUGGUAACACCAAAGGAAAAGCCCCUAUUGAUCCAAUACCCAUGUCCUAUACAGAGUUAUACUCGCUGCUCCUAGAGAACUGCCUCAUUGCCCCUAUCCCUGCUGAACCUCGUAAAUCGCCUUUCCCUAAAUGGUAUAACCCUAAUGCCCAAUGUGAAUACCAUUUUGGUGUUGUGGGCCAUUCUCUGGAAGAUUGCACAGCUUUGAAACAUAGGGUGCAAGGAUUGAUGAAAGCCGGAUAUCUGAGUUUUGAUGCCAAGAUGAACCCUUCUUUGAUCCAUGUCGAAAUGGUAGACAGUGUUGCAGAUAAUAGUAAAGUUGGUCAGAUUGAUGAAUAAAAAGCUUUUUAAGCAAAGAGUUAUCCUCUCUAGUAAUCAUAGUCAACUAUUUUUCAGGAAAGACAAAGGGAAGUGGGAGCAUGUUUGGCAUUUUUUGGCCCCAGUCCUAGAAUGGUUCAUGAUGUGUAAACUUGAUGCUUUUGGAAAUGAAUAAAAACUUUUUUUUUUUUUUAACCUAGAUUUUCUAUUAAUUGAUGCAUCUGUUUUUAUUGGCAUGCCUAAAAGAGUGUAAGAAAGAAUGAUGGUUGCAAGUAUAUUUUCACCAAACUUUUGAGACAGAAAGGAUACAUCUAGAUGACUCAUUUUGAAUGGAAUUCAAAUUUUUCCUCACCAAAGUAACAAAAUUUGACUUGCAUAUCAUGCAUCAUUUACUUGAAUUCAUUGUUUUUCAUGCCAGCUAAGGAUAAGGAAUGAUAAUUGUAAAUAUACUUGUCAUAACCUUCGAAGCAAUUUUUAGAAUUCAUGCCAUGCAUUUCUGACUUCUGGUAAUUAAUAAAAGGUUCAAGGAUAGCUAUUCUAAGAAACGAGGUCAGUUGAGUCUGCACACUUAUAUCACUCGAGUCAGUACCAUAACCAUGGAAAAUGAAGGUGCCAGUCGAAUGGACAGAGUAGAAAAGGCUCAAGGAGAGAUCGGUGAAACAGUUACGAGAAUGCAACAAAACAUGAAUAGACAACUGGCAGAAUUAAAACAGAUGAUAGUGGAAUUGACAAAAGAAAAAGAAGUUGUUGAGACGCAGAGGAUAAGGGAGGAAACAGCUAUCGAGACACCAUUGUAUCCAUCUGGUUUCACAUAUGUUCAAGACCCCCAUGUGUCACAAGCACCUCUAACAACCGAUCAACCUUAUGUUGGCCAUUUUGCCAAGUUACCAUCAGUACAGACAAAUGUCAAUCCCGGGCAUACUCCUCACAACUUCACUACUGUGCCCAAUAUGGAUGAUCAUAAAGAAUUGAAGAAAUUGAAAAGGGUGUCAGAUCCAUCAAAAGAUAUAGUGAUGAAAGAUAAGUAUGAUCUAUUGGAAGAGAGAUUGAAAGCAAUUGAAAGCCAUGAUGUGUACAGGAAUGUUGGCGCCAGUGAACUUAGUCUAGUACCUGAUCUUGUUAUUCCACCAAAAUUCAAAGCCCCAAGUUUUGAGAAAUAUGAUGGAACGAAAUGCCCUUUAAUACACAUUACCAUGUACUGUCGAAAGAUGACAGGUUACACCCAUGAUGAUAAAUUGUUGAUCCAUUACUUUCAAGAUAGUCUCACUGGACCUGCAGCAAGAUGGUAUGCUCAGUUAGAUCGAAAUAAGAUUCACUCUUGGAAUGAAUUGGCUAGGGCUUUCCUAGCACAAUACAAGCAUGUUGAAGAUAUGGUGCCAGAUAGGUUGUCCCUGCAGAACAUGAAGAAAAGAUCAACUGAAACGUUCAAAGAAUAUGCAUAUAGAUGGAGAGACAUAGCAGCUCAAGUACAACCACCCUUAUCAGAGAAAGAAAUUACUGUUCUGUUUGUCAAUUCUUUGGACACUCCCUAUUAUGAAAGAAUGAUUGGGAAUCUCUCUAAAAAUUUUUCGGACAUGGUGAUUUCUGGUGAAAUUAUAGAAAAUGCAAUUAAGAGUGGCAGGAUUAAGUUAAAAGAUGUGACAGAUGUUGAAGAAGAAAGUACAUCACAGCAGAAUAAAGAAGAGGUGCAAGCAGUCACAUUGGAAGGGCAUCUACCUAAUAGCUUUAUCCCGUACAAUCCUUAUCUUGCUUAUCAACCCCAUCACCUUGCCAUAAGCCAAAACCCAUAUCUUUACCAACCAAGCCAGCAUUUAAGCUUUCCAGCAAACUCUCAUCCUCAAGUGGUCAUUCAUGAUCUUGUUCCCACAUUUGAAUCCACCAUCCGACCAACAAAAAAUCGGAAGAGACCAAGGAAUGAUCAAGAGAAAUUACCCAUCCCUAUUUCUCACCUUUUACCUUUGCUAAUAAAAGGUCGAUAUCUCACUCCUGUGCCUCUGAAAACACCACCAAAUCCAUCAGCAAGGAGUUACAAUCCCAAUGAUAAGUGUGAUUACCAUAUGGGGGCAAUUGGCCACUCAACAGAAAAAUGUAGGCAGUUGGAAGAAAAGGUUGAAGAUCUUAUCAAGAAUGGUAUUCUGACUCCGGAAGUAAUAGAACAAUGGAAGUUGUUGACUCCAUUCAAUUUUCAAAUGUGAGAAGUUAAGAUGAAGAGGGAGGUGUCAAGUUUUAAAAAUCAGGAUAUGAUGAUUUCUUUUUCUACUAUGUAUGUAGGAUAUGUGCAUUGUGUCUCUAAGAGUUAUUUAAAUUAUUUUGGAAGAAUCGAAUACUUUGGAUCUUUUUCAUGAAAUUUUCUCUUUAUGCAUUUGUUUGGAUAAAAAUCCCACAUAAGUAACUUUCAAAAAAAAAAAAAAAAAAAAAAAAGAAGGAAAAAAAAAAAAAAAAAGUUUUAUUUUGAAGAUGAAAGAAUUCUUAAAGAAAAUGGUGAUUACUGUUAGGAAAAAGCUCAUCAAAUACCUUCACACCUUUUCAAAUACUUUCAUCACUUAAAUGAUUGGAUUCAUCAACCAUAACCUUUCAGGGAAUGUGAGUUUGAGUUCAGACUUUAAAAGGCCGAUAAUCUUUUCCAGGGCAAAGAACAAAGGAGAUUAAUUUUGAAAGUUUGUUUUGAAAAUCAGAUAUUCUUUCAAAAUUUUCCAAUUGAUAGUCCAAUGUGUGUCAAAAUUUUGCUAUGACCACAGAUACAAAAACACUUGAGCCUUUAACCUUUGUUCCAUGUCUUAAGGCACAUUGAAAAAAAAAAAUCCCUUUCUGCCUAAGACAAUUUAUUUCAUACCUUUAUACCUUUUCUUUUCCUUUCACCAAAAAAAAAAUGCCAAAAAAAAAAAAAAUUUUUUAAAGCCCAAAGAGCCUUUUGAGCUAUGCGAUCAAUCAUAUAUGGCUUAAUCGUCGUUAGAACCUUGAGUAAAAAGGAUGGGCAUAAUAAAAAAAAAACAAAAAAAAAACAAAAGGGACAUAUUCAAUGAUUUGCUCUUCUACCUAAGUGAUCAUGUUUGAAAUGAUGAAUGGCCAUCUUUCUCUAUCCUUCUCGUACAUAAAAAUUAUCCAUUUGUUACCCAUUUGAGCCUAUUAAAUUUUUUGUUUCAAAAUAAACCCUAGCCAAGGAUCAUUUUCUACAUUAGGGGGCAAAAUUGGGAUACAUUCAAGAUUAACUUCAAAGAAAGUAUCCGAUAUUGAAAGCGUCUAACAUGCCCUUCGAAGGUGAAAGUCUGGGAUAAAAAGUGAACAAUGCUUUGAUUGAAAUUUCAAGAUCCAAGAAAGUGAACGGCCAAAGAUAAAGUUAAGUAUUUCUAAGGCAAAAUAAAAAAACCUUAGAGAUAAGAAUCUGAAGCUUCACUUAGAAUUCAAAAAAAAAAAAUAUGUACCUUGAAAAUGAGAAUUCAAGGCAAAAAAAGAGGUGCGUGAAGUUGCUGAAAUUAAAGCCAAAUGGGGGAUAAAAGAAGAAAGUCAGAGAGUGCCCAUCAGGAUCCUUGGCCUAAUCACCUUGAAUAAUAUAUUUGAGCCUAUUCAUCCGUUCUUUCAGAACCCUUAACCUUGACCUACAUUACACACCCUGAAAAGCCCAUUUUGUUCAAAUAUGGAUACUUGGAUUGAAGAGCAAUAUCCUUGAAUUUGUAUAUACUUGUUGAAUUUUUCAUUGAUAAAGAAGAAAAAAAAAAAAAAAAAAGCUCUAAGGUGAAAACCCAAAAAGGGCAGUUUAGAGCUAAAGUAAUUUCUUGAGGCCCCAAAAUAAAUUUCAGAGUUUCAAGGUUCUAUCCGAAAUAAAAAGUUUCGAUACAAAACCUUUUGGAAGAUCAGUACCCAUUAAAGACCUUUCUAAAAAAAAAAAAGCCUUAUCUUCUUCUCAAAUCUUGUUUGAAGAGUAAUGACUAGUUUUGACUCACAUUGGAGUAUCAUGUUUUCAAUAAAAAAAAGUGUUUUUUUUUUAAAAAAUUUUUAUCUCUUUUGGGAACCCGAGAGAAAUCCUUGCAAUCCUCGCCGAGCUUUACAUGAGAUAUGCCACCAGUAAAAAAUUUGAAUUGUCAAUUACCUCACCUAUGAGCAUUUCAAAUAGUAAUCAUCAAUUUUCAAGAGAUUCAAAAGUCUUGAGUUUUAAAUCUUUUCAUUCAAUUGUAAAAAUACUUUAUGUGGGAUAAUUUUUGAUCACUUUUAAAAAUUUUUUUUUGAGAUUAUUGAAGCAUUUUGUACAUAAUACUGAGAUCAUUUUUUUGGGUGAAAAUGAAACAAAAAAAUUUAAACAAUAAUAAUAAUAAAUUCACCAAAAAAAAAAAACAAAAAAAGGGGGCAAGAAGAGUCUUUGCAUUUGCAUCGCUUGCAUCUGCAUCACAAGAAAGACAUUCGCAUUUGCAUCACUUGUAUAAGACAUUUGCAUUCACACCAUAAGAAGAAUUUGCAUUUGCAUCAUGCCAUCUGCAUCCUAAGAAAAUGUAUUUGUAGGGGCAUCUACAUGAAAAGGACAUUGUCAUUUGCAUUGUGAAAAAGACAAAUGUAUCAAGCAUUUGCAUUCUUAUGUUGGCAUUAACAUUUGCAUCAACAUCAUUUGAUGAGAAUAGACAUUUGUAUCAUGUUUGUAUUUAUCAACUUUGUAAAUAUUUAAAAAAAUAAAAAAAAAGGCAUGUUUUUAAAAUUUUAAAGCCUCUGUUUAAGAGGAACCAAUUUCAAUCAAGAUUUCAAAGCCUCUGUUUAGAGGGAACCUUCCUCAGAAAAGACCUUUAGAGUCUCAAAAAUCUCUAAUCAGGCGAAAGUCAUAGAUUAAAAAAUUUUUAAAUUUUAAAGUUUCAUCGCCUCUGAUUAUGAGGAGCAUUCAAAGAUUUUGAGAUUUAUAAGACCUCCGGGCAUAAUCUCUAGAAGCCUCUGUGCACGACUUUCAAGAUUAAAAAAUUUUUAAAUUUUAAAGUUUCAUCGCCUCUGAUUAUGAGGAGCAUUCAAAGAUUAUAAGACCUCCGGGCAUAAUCUUUAGAAGUCUUUGCGCAGGACUUUUAAGAUUAAAAAGUUUUUAAAUUUUAAAGUUUCAUCGCCUCUGAUUAUGAGGAGCAUUCAAAGAUUUUGAGAUUUAUAAGACCUCCGGGCAUAAUCUCUAAAAGCCUUUGCGUAGGACUUUUAAGAUUAAAAAAAUUUUUAAAUUUUAAAGUUUCAUCGCCUCUAAUUAUGAGGAGCAUUCAAAGAUUUUAUGAUUUUUAAGACCUCCGGGCAUGAUUUGUAAGACCUCCGGGCAUAAAUUUGAUUCGCGGUGUUAUCCCGAUCAAUUCUAUAAUUUUGACUUACGAUGUUAUCCCAAUCAAUUCUGUAAGACCUCCGGGCAUGAUUUUUAAGACCUCCGGGCAAUUCUGAAAGACCUCUGGGUAUAAAUUUGAUUCGCCGUAUUAUCCUGAUCAAUUCUAUAAUUUUGACUUAUGCUGUUAUCCCAAUCAAUUCUGUAAGACCCCCGGGCAUGAUUUUUAAGACCUCCGGGCAUGAUUUCUAAGACCUCCGGGCAUAAAUUUGAUUCACCGUGUUAUCCUGAUCAAUUUUAUAAUUUUGACUUGCGGUGUUAUCCCAGUCAAUUCUGUAAGACCCCCGGGCAUGAUUUUUAAGACCUCCGGGCAUGAUUUCUAAGACCUCCGGGCAUAAAUUUGAUUCACCGUGUUAUCCUGAUCAAUUUUAUAAUUUUGACUUGCGGUGUUAUCCCAGUCAAUUCUGUAAGACCUCCGGGCAUAAAAUUAAUUCGCUGUGUUAUCCCGAUCAUUUCAUUUAUUUUCUGACUUACGGUUCAGUCCCAGUCAUCUUUAAUCCUUGAUUCACGGUUUAAUCCCAGUCAUUUCAUUUAUUCUCUGACUUGUGGUUUAGUCGCAGUCAUUUUUAAUCCUUAGAUUCGUGGUUUAAUCCCGGUCAUUUCAUUUAUUCUCUGACUUACGGUUCAGUCCCAGUCAACUUUAAUCCUUGAUUCGUGGUUUAAUCCCGGUCAUUUCAUUUAUUCUCUGACUUACGGUUCAGUCCCAGUCAACUUUAAUCCUUGAUUCGCGGUUUAAUCCCGGUUAUUUCAUUUAUUCUCUGACUUGCGGUUCAGUCCCAGUCAUCUUUAAUCCUUGAACUCGUGGUUUAAUCUCGGUCAUUUCAUUUAUUCUCUGACUUGCGGUUCAGUCCCAGUCAACUUUAAUCCUUGAUUCACGGCUUAAUCCCGAUCAUUUCAUUAAUUGCUCGACUUGCGGUUCAGUCCCAGUCACCUUUAUUCCUUGACCAUCAGUGUCAUUCCAAUCAUUGUCUUUAUCAUUCUAUUUUAGGAGUCGCUUUAAUCGAUCCUUUAUUUUUCAACUCGCGGUGUCGCUUUCUUUAUUACCUGAUCUGAUCCUACAAAAAAAAAGGGGUCCAUGAUUUGCUUUCGGACAAAAUCGUUGUCUUUAUCUUUGCCCUAUUCCUGAUUCUCAGUAAUGUGCAAAGAGGGGCAGCUGUAGACACCGGUUUUGUCCGGGUCUACUACCAUUUUAUAUAUAUAUAUAUAUUAAUAUUUAUAAUAAUAAAUAAAAAAAUUAAAAAUUAAAAAAAGAAGCAGAAAAAAUUAAAAAAUAAUAAAAUAAAAGACAAAGUCAAAAAAAUAGGGGGGUUGGUGCGGCGCCGCUGCCGCCCCCUGGCAGCCACCCGACCAGCCCCCAACCAACUCUCCUAGCCACCCUACUAGCCACCUGCUACCCACCUCAUACCAAUUCCCUUUUAAACCCGAAAAAAAUCGACAGAACAGAGGCAAAAAAAGGAGGAGAUCCUCAACCUCGUUCAAAAGAAAAAAAAAACAAAAAAAACAGAAACAAAAAAAAAAACACAACAGAAACAGAAAACAAAAAACACAGUCCUCGCCUAUUCGGCGAGGAACCCAGCGCCAAAAAGCCACCUGCAAAAGCAAAAAAGGAAAAAUCGUUAGUAUUUCAACAACAAAAAAAAAAAGAGAGAGAGAAGAAAAACUGAAACUUUGAACCUCGAUCUACGCCGAUCGGGGUUGCUUUUGGCAGAACGGACAACGGAUCUGGGAUCAGGAGGCUGAACAGAACCUCCUGUCCCCUUUUCAAAUUUCUGACCACCGUCGGCGACGGCCCCCACGGCGGCCGGUGAGGCGGCCGGCGACCACGCGGCGGCCGGACGGCAUCCCUCUCCCCUGCUCUCUCUCUCUUCCCUCUCUCCCUUUUUUUUUCUGAAAACCAACCCAACUAACCAAAAAAAAUUUUCUGACCUUUUUAUAUAAACAGCCAAAAUCAAAACGACGUCGUUUCAUUAAAGCCUCAAAACGACGUCGUUUUGAUCCAGAGGAUCCGCGCGUCAACCCGCGACCCGACCCGGGGUCCGCGUGCCUGACCCGCGACCCGUUUCUUCUUCAGCCUCUGACCGGUCUGACUGGACCGGUACCGAACCGCCCAAACCAAGUCGAACCGCCAGUGAACCGGAUCGAACCGCCCAGACCGCCCGAACCGCCGAACCGGUCGGACCGCCCUGACCAGCGUUGACCGGACCGUUGACCGGUCCGGUUCAGGUAAAAAAAAUUUUUUUUUUUUGAAUUUUCUAAUAUUUUUUAUUAUUAUUUUGUUAUUUUUAAAUAUAUUUUUACGUGAUAAAUUUAUAAAUUUGUUAGAAUAAAUGUUUAAUUAUUUUUAUAAUAAUAAAAUUAAAAACAAAUAAUAAUUAAAAAUAUAUUAAAUGCUUAAAAAAAAUUAAUUUUUGUAAUUCCCUGCCCUAGAUGUUGGAGGAAUAAAAAAUAUUUUUUCUAAAAAAUAAUUCCGCCUAAUGUUGGGGAAUUAUUAUUAAUAAAAUUUUAAUAAAAAUAAAUAUAGAAAAUUUUUAAAUUAAUUUUCAAAAUCAUUUAAAAUCGAACUUGCUUCGAAAAUCUGCCUAGAUGAUGGGAUUUUAGAGAUGUUGUAUUUUCUUAAAAAUUGAAACCUUAAGCACUAUUUCUUAAUUUCCAAAAUCCUAGGUUUCUAAAACCCCUAAAAAUCCAAAAUCCAUUAAAUCCAAAAUCUUUGAAACCUAAAAUUCUAAAAAAAAAAAUCCCAAGAACUCGUGUGAAAAUUCUAUUCGAAGCAAUUUGUUUCCGAAUGCCGCCUAGAUGAUGGGGUAUUUAGGAAAUUUUACUUCGCGAAAUCUUUUCACACGAUUUCUUAAUUCACAUUAAUAAUAAGAUUAAUAAAUUAAAAAAAAAUAUAAUAAAAUUGAGAUCCUGAAUAUAAGCUCUGCCUAGAUGUUGGAGAGUUAGGGUGGUCCCAUUAUAUUUAAGAAUCCAAUCUUUUGCAUUUCAUUUUACAUGACAUGCAUUAACAUGAUAUUAUAUUAGCAUGUUAUCAUUGAUAAUUGAUUGCAUUAUUCUUUUUUUUAAUUUAUUGAUAAAAUAUUUUAUAAAAAAAAUGAUACUAAAAAAAAAUCUUUUCGUGAUAUUACAAAAUAAAACAAAAAUAAUAUUUCGAAAGAAAUAAUUUUUGGUACUCUGCCUAGAUGUUGGAGAGUCACUAAUAAUUAUUUUCUAUAAAGAUUGCUAUUUUAUUUUAAGGAUUAUUGUGUUAAAUCUUAUGCGAGAAGAGUUAUUUUAAAUUCUGCCUAGACGAUGGAGAAUUUUAAGAUAAUUCUUUAACUUAAAGAUUUUCUCAAUAUUUCUAAAUAAAAAUUUUAACAAAAAUAUUUUUAAAUAAAGGGAAUUAAUGUUAAAUUUCAAAUUAAAACCAUUUUUAUCCAACGUCAAAAAUAGCGCAUAAUUAAAUGGUACCAAUUUAUGGGCGUUGUGGGGGUGCUAAUCCUUCCCCACACGUAACCGACUCCCGGACCCAACCUGGUUUUUCGUAGACCGAAAUCUAUCUUUUUGAUAAAUUUUAAACCCGUUUUAAAGUUUUAUUAAAAAGAUAAACAUAUGGGUGGCCAAUCACACCCUAACAAAGAUUGGUGGCGACUCCCUUUUAAUUUUUUUUUUUUCUCGAUUUUAAAACACCUCAUUUUUACGUCUGGCGGUCCCCAAAACCAUUACGACAAUCACAUUAUGUUGUAAAAUGUGCAAUGCUCUCCUCAGUGCUAUUAAAGAAUGAUGGUCAGCUCCAUAGCCACCAUGGUGGAAAGUGCAACCCGUUUUUAAUAUCAGUUGCUACUCCACCCAAUUUACAAAUGUCUAAUGUCAGCCUUUCUUUGAAAAGCUUUGGAACAAAUAAGACCUUAUAUAGAAGCUGGUAGAUGGUUCAUGCAGUUAUCCUCAAAAAAUGACAUCUAAUAGGUUUGUGGUUUGAAUUUCAGUACUUACAACUCCUUCUCUUAUCCCAAAUGCAAAAAAAAAAAAGAGACCUUAUAUGCACGGUGGCAGGGACUUGGACACUAGAAUGGAAACUAUAAGAUGGGUUUUUGAGGUUACCAUCUGGGAUGUCUAAGGAAGAAUUCAUGGUUCUGAAAACCCCUGGAUAGACAUGGAAUCAGGAUGAUAAUAAUUUGUGCUUUUGAUAAUUUAGUUUUUGCAGCACUCAAAAUUCAGUUUCUGCCCUUCUGACAAGGAAAUAGUGUUUUUCCUCUUCAAACAGUUACUCUGGUCAUUUAUUCAGUAUAAAAAACUAACUCAAAAAAGGUAAAUUAUUUCAUACUUUUUCGUUUUAUCUUGAAUCUCCAUCAUAUUACAUGUAGGACAAAAAGGAUAAUGCAUUAGUGGACUUGAUCAAACUAAAAAAGCAGUGGCUGCUGCUCAUACAAAAUAAGAUCAUAACAUUAAAAUCCCGAAAUGGAAGACAGACGCAAAUCACUUUGUUCUUUUUCAGCCCACAAUUUUCUUUAUGAAUUUCAAAAGGCAUGAAAAGAAAAAUUAUCACUGAGAUUAAGCCUUUAAAAAAAUGAUAUGAAAAUUCACUUAUUCAGCUUAUGUACAAUCUAUCUUGAAAGGCCUAGCUUCUCCUCAUAUACCUUUAAUAAAGAAAGAUCCUCAUAAGAGGUCACAAACCUUUGAAGGAACUCCUUUUCGGUAAAAAAAAAAAAAAAGAUAAACACUGAUUUUCUCAAUCAAACGUUUGGAUAGCAAAGAUUGAAGAACUUAACACCCAAGGACAAUUCUCAUCUCUAAGCUAUAUGGGAAAAGUUACGGAAGGUUUACUAUACAUCAAGAUUUCCAGUCCAUUUGUGUUGACAUAUAAAAAAAAAUUCAUUGCGACUUUAGUCUUGUCCUUAGAAAGCAUCAUUGCAAUACGGAUACUUAAUUCCACAAAAUAUUUUUUAUAUAAAAGUUUAGGAUGAAGCGAGGCUUUCCCAUUCCAAAGUCAGGGAUUUAUAUUGGAUUUAAAGAUUAUUGUAUCAUAAUAUAUAAAUUCAUAAAUUUAUCGUUAGAUACAAUUAAAAGAGUCAUCAUCACUAUUUUUUGAUUAAAUAUGAUUGACCACUUAGAUGAAUCUAUUUAUAUUCAUUUUAAGGAUGUCUUAAACUUAACUAAGGGUCUUUAAAAAAAUGUUUUGGUUUACUAAUCAGAAUAGGGUUCGAGAGUUCAAUUACAUACGAAAAAAAUUAUAGCAUCCUUACAACUCUCAUCCUAAGAUGAUACCAUUUAAUUUUAAGAACUAUGGAUCAUGUGCUAUGUUGGGCUACGCUCUUAAUCUUCAUAGACCAUAUCGGCACGAUAUGUUAAAUAAUAGCAUUGGACCAUCACAACUUAUUAAUACAUGAGAUGUUUUUUUAAUGGGUCAUGUCAGUCCAUCACAAACUCAUGAUAGAUAAUAGAUUAUAAUUUUGUAGAAUUUUUUUUCAAAGGUAAUAAUAAUGAUAAUUUGUUAGGAUACAAUAUAAUCUAAAUUUUUUAUGCUAAAUAAAUUUAGAUUUAUUUUUAAACUAAAAUUGUGAAUAUAUAUAUACACACACACACAUACUAAUGGUAUAUAUAUACACACUAAUGGUAAAGUGAUUGAGUUGUAGUCAUGAGUUAACCAAUUGGUAAAUUUACAUUAAAUCCAAAGUUAAAAUAGAAUAACAAUAUAAAUUUAAGAUUUAAAAAAGAAAACUUUUUUAAUCUUAUUCAAAAAAAGCUACCCACCCAUAAGGUAACAUCCUAUAAAAAAAAUUAAUUUUUAAUGAAUUUUAUUCACCCCACAUGAAUAUAUCAAAAUUUGGUACUUCUAUAAAAUUUUGAAUGAUACGGUCCAAAAUAAAUUUAGUAAUUCAUAUAUUUAUAUUAUGUUAAUAUCAUUAUAAACAUGUAAAAUAUGAAAGUUUUUAUAUCAAAUUUGUGUCAAUAAGUCAAAUAUAAACCACUUUUUUUUGUUCUUGCCAAAUCCACAAAGAAUUUUUGUUAAAAUUCAAAAUAAUAUCACUUUCAUAUAAUUUUCAUAUGAUCGUAUUAUAUUUAAAAUUAUCAUAUAUAUAUAUAUAUAUAUAUAUAUAUAUAUAUAUUGGAAAGGAUUCCACCUAAUGCAAACAAUUCUCUCUCCAAUUGACCCUGACUAAGAAAUUUUGAAGUCAGAAAAGCAAUUGACAUUGUUGCAAGAGCAACAAUUAAUCUAAACCUUAUCAAAUCAAAGCAACCACUAUUUUUUUUUUUUUUUGGAAAUCAAAGCAACCACUAUUAUUAUUUCGACAUUAACAUGUGAAUUUGUAUGGUUUCCAAAAACACUACAGUCUUCAUCUAACUGCGUUCCGAUCUUUUAAUAUUAUACAUUGAAUUUGAUUACUUUAUUAUCAUACCUAGGCUGUCAAAUAAUUGAGAUUGGGUGUAAAACCUCAUAAUUUGUAACCACUACUUUUUUUAAGGUAAGGAAAAUUAAAAGUAUUUAUUACCUAAAUAGGCCAUUUUUAAAUUAUUUUUUCUUUUCAAAGAGUUUUUUUUUUUUUUAAUGAAAUGUCAAUUUUUAUUACCUAAACAGGUAGUCCAAUACUUCUAUAAAAUCUUUGGAUGAAUUUGAUAUCACCAGGCAAUUGAUACCAACAGCCUCGGUCUUCACAAUAAAUAAAAUGAGUCAAGCUUUUGAUUUUGGGCCGUCUAAUUCGCUUUUGAUCUCCUUUUACAAAGCAUAUCUAAAACCAAUAUAUCUUUUUCUCUUUUUUUUUUUUUUUAUGUUGUAUUCAUUGGACUUACAUACUUUGUGAGACCCAACUAGUCAUUUCUCCUUGACUCCGUGUUUCACGCCAUGGACUUGUAUGAAAUAUCGGGCAGUCAUUCUUUUAUAUAAACAUAAAUAUAAAUUAUAUAUAUUUCUAAGAGAUAUAAAUUAUAUUAGGCUAAUUGAUCAUUGAUAAUAUUCAAUAUUGAAAAAAAUAAUUUUAAAAUUUUAAAAUACAAUAUCAUACUCAAACUCCAAAUAAAAGUGAUCUAAUUAUUUUUGAAAAUUUAUUUUCAAAUCAUGAAUUUAUAGAAUAUGAAAGUAUUAAAUUAAUAUGAUAAUAUCAUAUGAUUUUUUCUUUACUUAACAUUAUAGUUACUUUCAGUGGUUAGUAGAAUAUAAAAAGUUUUCAAAUGAAUUUUAUUUAUAAUCUUUUUUUCUUUCAAAAAUUCAUUUUUAGUAUUAAUUAACGGAAUAUGAAAAGAAUGAAGUUAAUAUAAUAAUAUUUUUAAACAAAGUUAUAAAUUAAAAUUUCUUUAAAAUUUGCUAAUAUAUGGGACCAAAUAUUUAAUGCAAUUCUUUUGCAUUUUCAAUUUACCCUUCAAACAAUUCAUAAAAUUUUAUAAAAAAAUUAUAUAUUUUUCACAUUUAUCUUUUUAAUUUAGAUCAAAAUUUCUCUUGAUUUCAUUUAUUUCAAAUUUAUCCAUUAAUUCCAUCGAUAACUUUAAAAAUCAAUGAAAUUUGCUGCGUUGAUAUCAUGUAACUGUUGGUAUAAAUUUCAAUAAAAAAAGUUAAAAAGAUCUUUUUUUUUUGUUUUUGCCAUAUGAACAUUGUUUAGGCUCACUUUUUUUAGCACAAUUUUUUACUUAAUAUGUACACAUUCAAAAAAGGAUAAAGAGAUUUGGGGACAUAUGGAGUGUUAGUUUCAAUUCAACCCUAAGAUAAGUUUAUGAUAGUACCACAUAUCAAACCCGUGAUUGGUGUAAUCCAAAACUGUGCAAGUAAUUCUUUCUCCAAGAAAGAGACAAAAGAGGCAUCAAUAAAGUUAUCUUAUAUUUCGCACACAUAAAAGCAGAUAAAGGAGUCUAAUCAGAAAAGCUAGCAACGUGUUCUAAGCGCCAGGCCUUGGAGCAAUCCAAGUCAUCUUGCUUUCCACAAACAUCAAAGCAGACUAAGAAAUUUUAAAUCAGGAAAGCUAGUGAUCAUUUUCUAAACGCAGGGAUCAAUCAAUUUAUCUUGGUUUCACACACAUCAAGGCAGACUAAGAAAUCUUAGGUGAAGAAUUAAAGCUUCCAAAUGCAAGGAUCAAUCAAGUGGUCUUGGUUUCACACACGUCAAAUCAGACAGAAUUUUCAAGUCAGGAAAGCUAACGAUCGUUUUCUAAACGCAAGCACCAAUGAAAUGAUCUUGAUUUUACACACGUCAAAGCAGACCAAGAAAUUUUAGGUAAAGAAUUAAAGCUACCAGAUGCAAGGAUCAAUCAGUCUUCUUGCUUUUCUCCUGCAUCAAAGCAAAUUAUUAUGUUAUCAUUCCUUGGUUAGGUAAUUAAAUAGUUGAGGUUGGGUUUAAAAGCUUCUAAUUUAUAAUUUUUUUAAGGUAAGGUAAAUUAAAAUCUUUAUUAUAAAAAAGAUAGUAGUUCUAAUUUUUUUUUCUUUAAAAGAUGUAUUUUUUAUAUAAAAGAUGUCACAACUUAAAUAUUGAGAAAAAAAUGUAAAUAUUGAGAUUUAAAUUUCAGAUGUAAUCUUUUAAGAACCAAAUGAAUUUAAUUUUAAAAUUAUAUUGGUUGGGCAACUUGCUUGAACCUGAAAGCCCAUCCUAAAUUUGGAAGGGCUUUGACAUAAAUUUUAAGUUUAUUAAAUGAACCUGAACUUAAAUUUUAGACCUGUUUAAGAAAUGUACUAGUUUUUAGACAUAAAAUUUACAAUUCAAACCUGAUUAGGCCCAAAUAAUUAUUAUAUAUUUAUAUUACAUAAAAAUAAAGAAAAUUAAAUAUAAUAUAUACAAUAAUAUCCUAUGUCUAUAUAUAUUAAUCACAUUCAAAUAUUGAAUUAAGUUAACAAAGUAUUUUUUAGGCUUUACUUUGUUGAUUAUUUAUUUUAUCAUAAUUAAUAUUUAUGAUAAAAAUUAUUUUUUAUUUAAAAAAUAAAAUAUAGGCAGGCUUAGGUAAAGUCUUUUAAAAAUUAAUUAGGCCUCAGCAACAAACUAGGAUUAUAUUUUGGGAUGGACGAGUCUAAACAAACUUGAAAUUUGUUAAUAUCCUAACUAGGCUAUGUUCAAAUAUGAUCCUACUCAAUUCAUGUAUAAAUUUAAUUAUCAGUAUCAUGUGUUCGUACCUAAAUUGCCAAUAUGAGAGCAAAGAUCAUUUUAUUUCUUUUUCUCUUUCUAAUGUAUUUAAUUAAUGAUUUAUUAUUACUACUUUGAAAAUAAUAUUAAUGUUUAAUUUAUGAAAAUUUUUAACCAUAAAAGAAUUAUGAAAAUUGGAAGCAAGAAAAAAGAUAUCUCCAUCUCCACAUUGAGAAUUUUUGUCAUGUAAACACUAUUUUACCGUAUACUAGAUUUUUUGGUUCUUGCAUUUACAAUAUCAACUUUUUUUUAAAAAAAAAAAAAGAAUAUUUAGAAUUCGUUUGGUUUGAUUGAAUUUUUUUUUUUUUUUUAAAAAGUGUUAAAAUAAUAUUUGACAAACAAAAUGCAAAAAUACUCUAAAACAUAAAAAAAAAAAAAAAAUUAAUAAUAUUUUUAUAUAUUUUUAUUAAAUACAAAUUAAAAGGCUUAACUUUAUAAGCAAACCAAUAAAUAAAACAAAGAUAUAUUUUAUUAAUUAGAAAUUAAAAAAUAAAUGAGAUUAAUAGAAAAUUUGGAUCAAGUAAAAAAAAUGUUUGUGAAAUAAUUCAUUUUUAUUAUUUUAUGAAAUAUUAACAAAUAAAUUGAGAAUGUAAAAAGGAAAAAAAAACUAAGCAAUAUAUUUGUUAUUAUACAAUAACACUUCUCCAGGAGCAGAACAAGAACUUGACCUUCUCAGGGGUGAUUUAAAUGGCCAAUGACAUUGAUAUUAGAAAGAGUCGUACUCAAAGAUUUAGCCAUCACUUAUGAAAGGAAAAGCAAACAUUUAAUGAGGUGUGUAACUGGGAAAUUAUCGCCUGGUUGAGUUUCAGCUGUUCUGGGUCCAUCUGGGGCUGGAAAAACGUUUCUUUCAUCUUUAACUGGAAAAGCACCAGGUCGCGUCAUGACUGGUUCGCUUCUUAUAAAUGGAAAGGUUGAGCCAAUCCAAGCAUAUAAGAAAAUAAUUGGUUUUGUUCCACAAGAUCAUAUCGUUCACGGAAACUUGAUAGUGGAGGAAAAUCUAUGGUUCAAUGCUUGAUGCAGAUAUGCUACACUUAUUUCUGUCAUGCAUGACACCUUUAAUUUUUUAUUCCUUUUGGGUGUUUUUUUUUUUUUUUUUUUUUUGAUUUUCUACUUGCAACUGCGACAUUAGAAAAUAUUCUACACUAAAAAGCACUUUCUUGAUUUCCCCUGAUCACUAACAGGAUUGCUAAUUAUUUUAGACUUGCUGCUGACCUUCCAAAACCAGAAAAGGCUCUAGUUGUUGAAAGAGUCAUCGAGUCCGUGGGACUGCAGCCUCUGAGGGUUUCUCUAGUUGGGACAACGGAGAAGAGGGGAACAUCUGGGGGUCAAAGGAAACGGGUAAAUGUAGGGCUGGAAUAGAAAAGAUCAUGGAACCUUCACUUUUGGAUAUUAGAGUGAACCAACAUCUGGGUUGGACGGUUCAUCUUCCCAAUUACUACUUCGAGCUCUUAGGCGUGAAGCCCUUGUAGAAGUAAACCAGCCAAGGUGAGUUUAUUAUCACCGGAAUGUUUGAAUUUUAUGAAAUAUGCUGGUUUCACCGAGGAGUAAACAUAUGUAAAUAAGUAUGUAGCUGAAAAUAAUGGAUACCAAUUUUCUUUUUGUUGCACUUCAGUUAUACCUUGUUCAGGAUGUUCGAUGAUUUGAUACUUCUAGCAAAGGGUGGACUUACAGUAUAUCAUGGAUUAGUGUCAUAAGAGUAUUGUGCUGGCCUUAGAAUUAAUAUCCCCAAACGUACUAAUCCUCCAGCAGCAUCAUCCGGUGAAAAUCCUGCUCAUGGAGAAAGUGCACAUGGUCCUGGCCGGAAGCACACUCCUUUGCUGGCGACUUGUGGCAGGAUGUGAAAUGUUCUGUUUGAGACAAAGAAGGACGACUUACAACAUAAUAUCCUCAAGUCCAUUAACUUGUCACAAAGAGCAAUGCCUGGUGUAAUACAAUCAAUCAAUCAUAAUUUAUAAUUUUUUAGAAUUCAUUAAUAUUUUAUGUGAAAUUUUCACUUUUAGUGAUGGGUUUUUACAUAAUUUUUAUUAUGAUUGGGUAAUUAAAAAUACUUGUAUUAAUAUAAUCUCUAGUAAAAAAAAUUGUAAGUGAUAUAAUCUCCCAUAAUGUGCAACAUACAAUAGAAAAGAAUUAGUAAAGAUCAUAACUAUCUGGUUAUAAUUAUUAUAUCAAUAGAAAAAAAUGAGUUACACACAUAUUUGACCCUGAACCUUAUAUUUUCUGUUACAUUGAUACCUAAAGAAUUAUAUUAUCACAUUGACACUUGAACUUUUAAAUCCAUUAUCACGUUGGUAUUUUAAACUAACGCUGUCAGUCAACUUUGCUGACAUAGUAUAAAUAUCUAAUAAGAUGUUAAAACAUGUCAAAAAUAUCCAAUCAAUGUCACAUCAUCAAUAUUAUGUCAUCUUUAAAAUAAAAAAUUCAAAAAAAUUUAAAAUUUUCAAAUAUUAUAAGAAAUUCAAACAAUUCUAAAAAAUUUUUAAAAAUCCGAACAAUUUUUUAAAAAUUCUAAAAAUUCUAAAAUAAUAUCAAAAAAUUUUUAGAAAAUUAAAAAAAAAUUCUAAAAAAUUUUAAAACAUUUAAAAAAUUUUAAAAACUUUCAAAAAUCUAAAAUUAAAAAAAAAAUCAGAAAAUUCUUGGAAAUUUUUAAAAAAUUCAAAAAGAAUUAAGGAAACAUAAAAAAUUUUUACAAAUUUCCAAAAUAUAAAAAAAUCCAAAAAAUUAAAAGAAAAAAAAUGAUGAUUUUAAUAAAAUUUAAGAACUUGUUAAAAUCCAAAAAAAUUAACAUAAACUAAAAAAAGACAAAAUAAAAUCAUAAGUUUUUUUAAAAAAAUAUAUUAAUUUUUAAAAAAAUUUUCAAAAAUAUCUAAAAAUAAUAAUAUAUUUUUAUAUUUUUUAAUUUAAUUCUUUUGAAAAUUUUGUGGAUUUUUUUAAAAUUUUAAGUUUUUUUUAAGAUUUCUUACUUUUAAAGAAUGUUUCAAAAAUUUUAAAUUAUUUAAUUUUUAAAAUAUUUUUAGGUUUUUUCUUUUUUCUUCAGUUUUUUAAAUUUUUUUGAUUUUUUAAACUUUAAGAAAAUUUUAAUUUUCUUAGUUUUUCAAAAAAUUUAAAAAAUUUUCAAAUUAUGAUAAUUUUUAUAAUUUAUAAAAAUAUUUCAUAUUUUUUAUUUUUUUAUGGAUUUAAAAAUUUUAUAAAUGUUUACAAAUUUUUAAUUAGAAUUUUUUUUGAAUUGUUUAUAAUUUUUUAAAAUUUUUGAGAAAUUUAAAAAUUAAUUUUUAAUAUUUAAAUUUUUUUUGAAUUUUUAAAAAAUUGUUUUAGUAUUUUUAUAAUGUUUUGAAGUUAAAUAUUUUUUUAUAAAUUUUAAAAAUUUUUAAAAUACUUUUUUGUAUUCUUUUCAAAAAUUUUAAAAAAUUUUUAGAACUGCUUAGAAUGUUUUUAAGUUUUUAAAAUUUUUUUGAAGUUUUUAAAAUUUUUUAGAAAAUUUUAAAAUUUUUAUGAUUUUUAAAAUUUUUUUAAAAUUUUAGAUUUUUUGAAAAAAUAAUAUUAUUUUGAUUUUUUUUUAAUUUUUUUUGAAAAUUUCUUUUAAAGAUGAUGUGGCGUUGACUAAAUUUUUUUGACACAUACCAGUAUCUUAUUAGAUGUUGAUGCCAUGUCAGCAAAGAUGACUAACAUCAAUUGUAGGUUCCAACUUGAUAAUAGAAUAAAAAUUUAGGUACCAAUGUAGUUGUAUAAUUCUUUAGAUACCAAUAUGACAAAAAAAUAUAAAAUUUAAGGGCCAAAUAUGUAUUUAACCCAAAAGAAAUAGAUAGAGAUCAUAACUAUCUAGUUAUAAUUAUUAUAUCAAAAUUAAUUUAGUUUGUUAGCUUUAUUCAAAAUUUGAUUCAUUCUAAGGAGAAUGUAUUUUUUUUUCUACAGGGUCCCUCAAGCCUGAUCCCAAGCACCCUUUUGUUUAUCUGACUAUUAAGUAAUACUUAACUGGAUAUGGUUUGUUAUGUUUUCAAAAGUUAGUGUUUUAUUUUUUAAAAAAAUUUUAAAAAUGAUUUCUGGAUGUUGCAGGAGAAAGAUUUCGCAUAAGAAAAGUUCACGAAAAGAAUACAAUGUUCAAAAAGAUAGUAGAAAUAAUCUCCUAGGGCAUAUCGAAUAUAGCAAAGAGUAAUUUUUUUUCAGAGUCAGGAAUGUCUAAUACUACUCAGUAUUACACAGUUUUGCCAGUCAUUUCUUAUAACCAAGGAAUAAUGUUACAAUUAAGAUUAUAGUAAAAUGUGUGGGAAAACACUUAUUUACAGCUGGUUGUAAUCUUGUAAUCUGUAUAUUUAUAUUUGUAUCUCUAGAAUUAAGCAUUUGUAUCCCUAGAAUUAAGGAAGAUUUAGUUUCCUAGUUUAACCCCUAGUUAGUUGUAUAUAAACCUAAGAUUCUUGUAUAAUUCAAAAUAAGUAGUUUUUCAAUAUACAUUCAGUUUCCACAUUGUAUCAGAGCUUUAGGCCCUUCUUGAGAAGUAAAAUUUUUAGCCUUUAUUGUUGACUUUUUUAGGCCUUUAUUGCCGAAUCCUGUUUAGGCCUUCAUUGCCUACCACCCAAUUUGAGGAAAUGUUAACUGAAAAAAUCACUGGAAUACUACAGAUGUCUUAGAAACAAGGAGAGCUUAACAGGAAAGAGAUUGAAAAGUUGAGAAACUUAUUGCAAAUCCUUGAAAAGCCUACUAUGGUAUGUUCUUUGGGUAAAGUUUCUAGUUCAGAUAAAGCUUCCGGUUCUCAUGGAUUAAAUGUCUCGGCUAAGCCUGUUACGAGUUCUUGGGUCAUUGACUUAUGAGCCACAUACCACAUGAUACAUUUAUCACAAAAGUUUAAUACAUAUAACCUGUGUCCUAGUAAUAAGAAAAUUAUUGUUGCUGAUGGUUCACUUACCACAGUGGCAGGAUUAUGAGAUGUUCAAGUUAAUCCCUCAUUUAUUCUCAAAAAUGUUCUUCAUGUUCCUGGAUUGUCUACUAAUCUGAUAUCUAUACAAAAACUUACCAGAGAUAUGAAUUGCAAAGUAACUUUUUAUCCCUCUUAUUGUGAAUUUUAGGACCAGAGUUCGGGGAAGAUGAUUAGACUUGCUAAGGAGAAUGAUGGACUAUACUAUCUUGAGACAUCAAAUAACAUAAAUAGUAUCAAAAAUAGUUUACCUUUGUCAUUUCUUUCUGAAAAAUCUUUCAAUAAAGAUAAAAUCUGGCUUUAUCAUUUUCGUCUUAGACAUCCUUCUUUUGGAACCUUGAGAAACAUAUUUCCUUCUUUGUUUAAAGGAUUAAAUGUUGAAGAUUUUCAUUGUGAUAUUUACGAAUUUGCAAAACAUAGACGUGUGUCUUUUCCAAUCAGUAACAAAAGAAGUUCUACUUCCUUUUACUUGAUUCAUAAUGACAUUUGAGGUCCCUCUACAAUUUUUAAUAUUUUUGAUACGAGAUGGUUUGUUUCAUUCAUAGAUGAUUAUACUAGGGUCUUUUGGGUUUUUUUACUUAAAUUCAAAUCAGAUGUGAAUAGUAUAUUUUUAAGCUUCCAAAAUAUGAUCCAAAAUCAAUUUGGAGUGAGAAUCAAGAGAUUUAGGUCUGAUAAUGCAAGAGACUACUUCAAUCAGAUCUAUCAACCUAUUUCCAAAAAGAGAAGAUUAUCCAUGAGUCAUCUUAUAUUAAUACUCCACAGCAUAAUGGAGUGGCAGAGAAGAAAAACAACCAUUUACUAGCCACAACUCGAGCCUUUUUUUUUCAAGCAAAUGUACCUAAAUCUUAUUGGAGGGAAGCUGUUCUCACUGCCAUAUACAUUAUAAAUAGGUUACCUUCAAGAGUUUUGAGAUUUAAAAUUCCUAUGGAACUACUCUCACAAUUUUAUCUCAACCUCAAUACCACAAACAAUCUCACACCUAGGAUAUUUGGUUGUACAUCAUUUGUUCAUGUUCACAAUCAUAACAGAGGAAAGUUGGAUCCAAGAGCGAUUAAGUGUAUUUUUGUGGGGUAUUCUUCAACUCAAAAAGGAUAUAAGUGCUAUCAUCCUCCUACUAAAAAAUUUUAUGUGUUUGUAAAUAUCACUUUUGAAGAAAAUAAACCAUUUUUUACUCAACCUUAUCUUCAGGGGGAGACUUCAUUCAUGGAAGAUAAGGAUAAAGACUUCUUUUUGCUUAAUUUGCCCCAUUCUUCAACAUUUACACCCAUUAAUUCUUCUUCUGAGUUGAAACCUGUUUCUGUUGAGCCCAAGUCAAACAUUAAAUUUGAGUCUGAACCCAUUCCAAAUACAGAAGAUGUGAUAAAGGAUAAUAUUAUUCUUGAUUCUAUGAAAGAAUUACAAGUGUACUCAAGAAGAAAAGUUUCAGAUCCUGAACCAUUGCCAGUUCAAGAACCUGAUCCUAACUCUGGAAAUGAGGUAACUACAGUUUAACUAUGUUUCUCAAAAUGAGCAUGAAUCUCUUAAAACUAUAACUAGUGAUUAUGAUUUGCCUAUUGCCAUUAGGAAAGAAACCAGAGAAUGUACCAAACAUUCACUAUACCCAAUAUCUAAUUUUGUAUCAUUUGAAAAAUUUUCACCAUCUCAUAAAAAUUUUCUUGUGAGCCUAAACACUAUAUAUGUUCCAACUACAUUAUUUGAGGUAUUAUCCAGUGAGAAAUGGAGGCCUUAGAGAAAAAUCAGACAUACAAACUGGUAGAGUUGCCUAAAGAAAAAAAUCCAGUGGGGUGUAAAUGGGUUUUCACUGUAAAAUACAAGAUAGAUGGUACUGUUGAAAGGUAUAAAGUCAGGUUAAUGGCUAAGGGCUAACUCAAACCUAUGGAGUGGAUUACCAGGAAACCUUUGCUCCAAUUACCAAGAUGAAUACAGUUAGAAUUUUGUUAUCAUUGGCUGUAAAUUACAAUUGGCAGCUUCAACAAUUUGAUGUAAAAAAUACUUUUCUAUGUGGUGAUUUGGAAGAAUAAAUAUAUAUGAAGGUUUCACCGAGAUUUGGAGGUCAUCUAGAAGCAAACAAAGUAUGCAGGCUAAAAAAGGAUUUAUAUGACCUUAAACAGUCUCAUAGAGCUUGGUUCGAGAGAUUUACCAAAGUGAUGCUAGAAAUGAGAAAUAAACAGAGUCAAGAAGAUCACACAUUGUUUAUCAAGCACUCUGAUUCAGGGAGAGUCACAGUUCUAUUAGUGUAUGUUGAUGAUAUAAUUAUAACUGAAGAUGAUGAAAAAGAGAGAGAAUCUCUAAAACAGUAUUUGGUUAGAGAAUUUGAGAUAAAAGAGCUAGAGAGAUUGAAGUACUUCCUAGGAAUUGAAGUAGCUCACUCACGGCAUGGUAUUUUUAUCUCACAACAGAAAUAUGUGAUGGAUCUUCUGAAGAAAACUGGAAAACUUACAUGUAAACCUGUAAAUUCCCCUAUAGAUCUCAAUCAUAAAAUUAGAGAAGCUAAUGAAGAUACUGUUGUAAAUAGAGAGAUGUACCAAAGAUUAGUUGGAAGACUUAUUUAUCUCUCACAUACUAGAUCUGACAUAGCAUAUGCUAUGAGUGUGGUAAGUCAAUUUAUGCAUAGUCUUAAAAAAGUACACCUACAAGCUAUCUACCGUAUAUUACACUAUUUGAAGGUCAAUCUUGGGAAAGGUAUCUUAUUCAAAAGAAAUUCAGGGUUAGUUCUAGAAUCAUAUACAGAUGCUGAUUAUGCAGGUUCAGUAACUGAUAGAAGAUUCACUUCAGGCUACUGUACUUUUUUAGGUGAUAAUCUUAUGACUUGAAGGAGUAAAAAACAGAAUAUGAUGGCAAGAUCAAGUGCUAAAGCAGAGUUCAGAGCAAUGGCUCAAGAAAUUUGUGAACUACUAUGGUUAAAUAUUAUCUUAGAAGAUUUGAAGAUUAAGUAGGAUGGACCAAUGAGACUCUACUAUGAUAACAAGUAUGCAAUAAGCAUUACACACAAUCCUGUGCAACAUGAUAGAACAAAACACAUUGAAGUAGACCAACAUUUCAUAAAGGAAAAACUAGACAGUGGGUUGAUUUGUACACCUUAUGUAUCAACCAAGGGUCAAUUUAUAGAUGUGUUAACUAAAGGUCUCAGCAGUGCAACAUUUCAAGGAAUUAUUUUCAAGCUGAAAAUGGAAAACACCUAUUCACCAGCUUGAGGGGGAGUGUAGGAAAACACUUAUUUACAGCUGGUUGUAAUCUUGUAAUCUGUAUAUUUAUAUUUGUAUCUCUAGAAUUAAGUAUUUGUAUCCCUAGAAUUAAGAAAGAUUUAGUUUCCUAGUUUAACCCCUAGUUAGUUGUAUAUAAACCUAAGAUUCUUGUAUAAUUCAAAAUAAGUAGUUUUUCAAUAUACAUUCAGUUUUCACAAAAUGUUCAAUGUACUAUUUAAUCUUUAAAUAUUUUUAAUGUAAUAGUUAAAUUAUAAAUUUGUUAAUUAAUGUGAUAUUCGAAGUACUGUUUGACAGUCACAUAUUAUUAUUUAGAAUUAAAGAUACAAGAGUAACACAAUAAUUAAUAUAUUUAUAAUUCAGAUAUUACAUUAAAAAUAUUUAAAAUUUAGGUACUAUAUUAAAUAUUUUAUUAUAUUUUAAAGCAAUUCAUGACAUUAAUUAUAUAACCAAUGUAGCCUUAUUGAAGAGGUAGUCUGUCUAUUGGCUUCCUUGCAACCAGAGAAAAAAAGAACACGUUGAAAGAAAAAAAGAACACAAUAAUUAAUAUAUUUAUAAUUCAGAUAUUACAUUAAAAAUAUUUAAAAUUUAGGUACUAUAUUAAAUAUUUUAUUAUAUUUUAAAGCAAUUCAUGACAUUAAUUAUAUAACCAAUGUAGCCUUAUUGAAGUGGUAGUUUGUCUAUUGGCUUCCUUGCAACCAAAGAAAAAAAGAACACGUUUAAGUCAUAUUGAAUCUCUUGAUUGAGUGAAGGAAGGAAUUUGACUAUGCAUAAGCACUUUGAGCAAAAAAUGAAAACUUUAAGGAAUGUGGAAAUCGACAUACAACAUAUUAAAGGUAUGAGCGAUAAAAAUUGAUCACAAGUUAUGAAAGCAAACAUCUGUUUUAGAGAUCUAACUUAAGCAACAGGUUUGCAACUUAAUUUAACUAAUUGUUAUUGGAUUCUUAUGUGAUGUUUUUCUUAAAGUUACUUCUACAACUUUGUUGUAUCCUUAACCAUUGCACCAGAAGUUGAACGUUAAACUAGAACAGCGUGUAAAUUCAACCUUGUGCUCACCAGAGCAGCCCAAGUUAAUUGUUGGUAUAAGAGUCCUGACAGCAAACAUUUUUGUGGACAAUGCAGCAUACAAGGACUUCUUUUUUUCAAACAUUUCACAUUUCAUCCAUGGACAUCAAGAAUGCAACUGUAGUAAUGGUAAGAUUUCUUCCUAUUCAAGUUUCGAUUGAUAACUGUUAGAACGGUUAGCGUCUGUGAACUGUUGGCUUUGGACAAGCGUAAUUUGUUUAAGUGAGGGUAAAGAUUAGAAGAGAUGUCCUAAUUAAUGCUUUUGGAGAAACAUAGAGUUGUGAAUUGUAAGCUGUCUGGAACUAGAGGAUUAUCACUUUUACAAAUAGAUGUGGUUUUAUUGUUUCCUUGUGUAGUAUAGAAUAUAUGUGGUUUUAUUGUUUCCUAGUGUAGUAUAGAUUAGGGAUAAUGUUAAGGAUGUCAAUAGGUAUGGGGAAGGUUGAGCAUUUUUUGUUCUCCAUCCACGAAUUGUUAUAUUAUAUCCAUCUUCGUACCCGUAUCGAAUAGGUAUUUCAAAUAUAUUCUCAUUUUCAUUCUCGUGGGUAUUUAAUGGGUAUAAGCAUUCCCCAUACCUAUAGCAUUCAAACAAAAAUAAAAACCAAAUUUUUUUUAUUUUUUUUUAAUUUGUAUAUUUAGGUAAUUUUUUUAUAAAUAUCUAUUAAUAUAUCUUUUUUUAAUAAAAAUAUAUUUAUUCUAUUUAAUCUAAAAUAAUAAUUUAUAUUAUUUAAUAAAAAUAUUUUUUACUAAUUAUAUAUAAAUAUAUGUAUAGGGUAUAGGUAUAAGGCAGGUGCUAGAUUACCCGUCCCUAUACUUAUACCUAAUUUAAAUUUAAAAUCAUAUCCAUCCCUAUUCUUAUCCCCAUACCUAUAACGUAAUACCUAUUAAUAUCCUUAUUUGAGUGAAAAAUCAGGUUUCUCAUUAGAUAUAAGUAAGAUUGACAUCUCUAAAUAAUGUUACGAAAUACCUCUGAAUUAUAUUAAAAUAUUCAACGUGUAAUUAAAUUUUAAAAAUUUCUAAUGUAAUAUCUCAACUAUAAAUCUGUUAACUAAUAUGAUACUUAGAAAGGUAUUUACCUAAUGUGUUUGUCACCCCAUGUUUGGAGCUAACAACAUUAGGAGUGAGUUUCAUAUUAGUUAAAAGAUUUAUAGUUUAAGUAUCACAUUAAAAAUUUUAAAGUUCAAAUAUUAGAUUAAAUAUUUCACUAUAAUUCACCAAGCUAGUUAAGUCUAAUUACACUAGGAAAAUAUGAUAUAUUAGCUUGAAUUAUAUAUAAGAAUAUAUUUGUGUACUAGGCUUUAGUCGUAUGUAGUUAGAGGAGGGUUAGAUCGAUGUUUGCAGUCUCACCCCUGCUUUUAUGAAAGGAUGUUAAUAUAAUUUAUAAUUGUUUAAAUUUAGGCAAUAAAAUUAGACAAAAGGUUAAAUCCAAGUCUAAUGCAAAUGAAUAAAAUUGGGAAAAAAAUAAAAAUUUGGGAUAAUAACUUUCAUUUUUUUUUCUUUCAUUGUGCAUGUUCACUUUGGGAAUUAAUUGAGUUGUUGGUUUAUUUAAGCUUAAAAUGUUGGUUCUUUUUUAAGACAAGCUUGUUAACUCGCAUCCCUAUGAUUGUGAUUUGAGGGCUAUCGAUUUAGAUACAAUACAACAAGGAGAGAAUGCAAUUGGAAGAUUGGGUCUCUUGCAGCAGUAAAUACAACUAAUUCUUGUCAUAGAUCACUAAACGAAAAUUUUAAAGAUUUUAAAAUCAGGAAAGUCAUCACUAAUUUUUUUAUUAAGUAUGAAUUUUUUUAUUAAGUAUGAUUAAUUACUUAAAAAUUUAUUUUUUAAUAAAAUUUUAAAAUUAAUUAAAACUUAUUAAAAAGAUAAUUUUUGUGUGAUCUACAAAAAUAAAUUUGAGAGUCCAGAAGUUUGAUUACAUGUAUGAAAUGAUUAGUACCCCAUAGUAUCCGUUUUAAAAAUGAUACCAACAGAUCACAUGUUAUCUUUUUAUUUAAAUAAAAAUGAUCUUAAUUUUAAUAUUUAAAAUAAUCUCUUUAAUUUUUUAUUUUUUACAAAAAAUCCUUUUAAAACUUUUUAUUUAACAAUAAGAGGAAUAUCUUUAAUUUUGAAAAUUUUCUUAAAUUUUCCAACGUUGUGAAGGAAUUUUUAAAAAUAUUUCUUCACUUACAAUUUUCAUAACAAUCUUUAAAAUUUGGCUUAAUACACCUUUGUAAUAAUAAUUGUUAGGAUACCCUCAAAUAUCUAAGUAGGCAAGGUACCUAAAUUUAUUUUUAUUUAGAAAUAUUAGCUUUUAUUAAAAACAACUUUUCAAAAUCACUAUUUAUUAAUUUAUAUUUUUUGACAAUGACAAAGUGCAUGAUAUAACAUGAAGCAAACAAAUAAUACAAACACAAAUUAAAAGAUCCAAAUACAAACUAAAAUAUGCAAAUGAUCAAUGUCAUAAUGUGUAUGUCUUAAAACAAAUCCAUUUGACACAUAAAUCAUAGAGUCGUCACCAAUCGUUUUUAACUAGGUGUAAUUGGGCAUGUAAGUGGAAAUACCAUUCUAAGGUUAUUUUAAGCUUGACUAAAGAUUUUUAAAAGAAUAGAUUCUAGUCUUUUAAAUAGAACUAAGUUUGGGAGUUCAAUUAUAUAUAGGAAAAGUUAUAGCACAUCUACAAUAUCCACCAAUUAGUACCAAUUAAUCUUAAAUUAUCUUUAGCUUUAAUUAACAUGGUCAUAAUUUAUUCUUAUUAUUUAAUAUUUUUUUCAAUUUUAGUAUUUAAAUAUUAAACGUAUUUUUAGAUUUUUUCCAACACUUUGGUCGAUCCCUUAAAAAUAUUUAUCACCUUAAAAGUAUUCAAGUAACAUAUUUUUUUCCUUGAAUAUGCUACGUCAUCGAAUUUAUUAAAUAUUUUAUGGAAUUCAAUUCAUAAUAAAAUUUACAAUUCAAUAAAAUAUAAAUAAAAUACACAAUUCAAUAAAAUACAAUAAUAAAAUAAUCACAAUUUAAUCAAUCAUAAAAUCAUCACAAUUUGUUUCUAAUUUUAAUUUUUUCAAAUUAGAAAUAAAUAAAAUUUCUCAUAUUGAGAUUAAUUUUUAAAUCCUCCAAUGCCUUCAUCGAAUUUAGAAAAAGUUCUCUUAGCUAAAAAUUUUUAAGAAAAUUACAAAUCCGUAACUUUUUUAGAAUUUUAUCAUUGGUUGAAAUUUUAUUUAUUCUUAAUAUAUUUAUUGAAUACUACACCAAAUAACCAGUUAUACAAAAAUCUCCAAUUACCUAGUCUAAAAUUUAUUUUCCUCUCAUCUUAACCUCCUUUAUUUAUUUACAAAAUAAUUAAAAAAUAUAUCUAAAAAUUUAAAAGUUAUAUAUGCAUGACAAAAAAUUAUAAAAAAAAACUAAAUAAAUAAGCAAAUGAAUACAAGAUAAAUAAAUAAAUAAACACAUUAAAUAAACAAAAGAAAAGGAAAGAAGAAAACAACUAGAAUGCAAAUACCAUGUAAUUGAAACUUGUUGAAAACCAUAGGUAUCUAAGACCAUAAUUUAUAGGGCACAUCUCAACUAAAGGACUUGACCCCAUAUCACCAUUCAACAGCCCAGGAAGUCUAGUCCAAUGCAAGAAAGAAAAAAACAGAAAACACAAGUGGCAACAUGCAUGUAAUAUAUCAUGGGUUUCAACGUGACAAGUAGGAUCAGGUGUUGAUUGCAUUAGGUUUCAACAUGUUUUGCAUAAAAGAAAUUUGGAAGUAUUGAAAGAACGUGGUUAGUUAUGUCAUGAUCUCGACAAUUUUGCAUAAAAUCCUUGAGACGAUUUUUUGAUUUCUAGUGGUUUUUGGCUGCUACUUUUCUAUUUCGAAAUUUUGGGUAUGGUAGCUACUGUUUAUUGUGAUACCUGCAAAUUGGGGAAGGUAGAAUCAAUACUUUUGUGCUUUUUGCUUGCAAUUGAUUUUUUUUUUCAUUGCCAAUUCUUUUUGAAGAAUUUUUUAACCUGACCUGUUUCUAUGGUGCUAAAUAUAUAAAGGACACAUCCCAAUUGUGAAAGAGUUUCUAAUCAACCAAUUUUCAAUGUUUACAAAUUAAACCAAUUUCAACACUUUUAAUCCCUUACCAAUUCUCCUAUUAAAGUCUAAGCCAAACAAAUCUCUUUUCUUUUUUUUUUUUUUUAAUAAUUACUUUAAACUAAAUAAAAAUAAAAUAAAAUAAAAUAAAAUUCAAAAUCUAAUCUUAAAAUGACAAUCUCAAUAUUCCAUAAACAAACUUAUUUUCAAGAGUAUUUAAAAACAUAAAGAAAACAAAGGCACAUAAUAAUAUAGCAAAAUUAAAAAAAAAAGAAUAAAAAAAUACCAAAUAAGAUUUUUAGGUUUGAACCCAAAUCAACAAAAACAAAAUGGUCCAAGUCUGCUAGGCUCUUGGGUCAGGAAUUGAUGUGAGUUGGGUCGGGUUUGACACCGAGUGGGGUUUUUAAGCUACUCUAAAAGCAAAUUUUUUUAAGCCAUUUCAUUUCCUCCUGCUCACAAAAAAGGCUUUCUUCAAAAAAUGCAAAACAACCGGCCACUCCCUAGAUCCCAAUGAUCGGCCUCCGCGUUGCCACCGCCACCACCGCUGGCCGCUGCUGACAGACUUCUUUUUCAGCCCAAAUUUCACCUAAAGACUCCUUUUCACCUCCUCUUCUCAAAUCUGAGCUCAGAUUUCUCAAAAUCAGCCACCCAAAGUUUUAGAUCUAAGCCAAAAGCCAUGGCACAAAACUCCAAGAAGAUAGACCUGCGCCGCAGGAAACACCACCGUUUCUUGAUAUGUUAUUCCCUCCCCAAGAUCUACCUGUCCUCCAAAAAUGGCUUCCAUAAUCUCCCUAAAACUCCCUAAACCGAGAAACCAAAUACCCCUCUCUUUCUCUCUCUUCGUUUCAAACUUGGUUCUUUUUUUUUUUUUUUUUGUGGCUUCCCCACGGGGAAUGAGGUUGAUUUUUUUUUUUUUUUCUGGGGUAUUUUUGUAUGUUGUUCUGGUGUUAGAAAAGAGAAGCAAGCAUUGUUUUUUUUUUUUUUUGGGUAUGGUUUUCGGUUUUCAAAGAACAAAAGUUAUUUUUUGGUUCGGAUGGUUGAGGGUGGAGUAGUUCGGCUGCUGGUGUGGGGAUUGGGGGCUGUGAUGGUUGGGUGGUCAGUGGUGGCUGUAAGGCGUAAGCAGUGGGCUUCGGCUGGGGUGUCUGCUGGAGUGUUGUUGGUUGAGAGCUGUAGGUUGUUGGCGGGCGGUGGGUCGUGGAGGCAGGGGGGCUGAAUGAGAUUAAUUAAGGGGCUUUUGGGUGUCGGUGUGGCUAGACUUGGUAGUUUUAGGUGCUGGGAUUUUUGUUUUUUCGAGUUUUUGGGUCAAUGAUGGAGAAAGGGGAGGCUUUUUGGGUGCAGGCAGAUUAGUUCUUGGAUUUUUCUGUGAAAAUUGGCUUCCUUCCUCCCGAGUGUCCGAAUCCCCUUGUGCCCAAAAAAUUUUCGGUUCUUGUAGGAUUCAAUUUCUAAAAAAAAAAGAAACUUGGUAAUUCAUUUUAGUUGGAAUCUUGUUGCAGCUGCCAUUGCUGCAUUUUUGGGAGGUGUAGCAUGCUGCACUUUGGGUCCUGAGGACUUUGAUGAAUUGGUGUUAGAAACCAACAGAUAAAAUGGAAGGUGAAAAAUUCAGAGCUUAAAAUGGAGGCAACAGUUUGGGGAAGGAAAAAGUGGAUCUCGGAAAGCUGGCUCCAAGCUUUAGUCUUUUUAUUUUUUUUAAUAAUUAAGGAAAUUAAACUUAAAAAUAAAUUUGGACCUUAAAAUUAAAGGUUGAAUUUUCAAAUUUUGAACUCUAAAUUUUGAUCUUAAAUUUUGGAUUUUAAGCUCAUAUCAUUUAGUUUCGAAUUGACCCAAAAUAAAUUGAAUUGGGUUUUGAACUAUUUAAAAUAGUCGAAAAAUUAUUAAUUUAAAAUAAAUCUAAAUGAAUAUAAUUCAAUUUAAAUGUUUAAAUUAAUUUAUAUCAAAAUAUUUAAAUUAAGUAUAAAAUUAAACAUAUUUAAAUUAAUUUAAGUAAAAUUAGGUGUUUACAAUUCUAUUCUGAAAUUUAUUGGCAAGCUACUAGGACAUGCUCAUGAUACUCGUUGGACACUUUGUUUCUCUUUAAUCAGCCUAAAAGCUGCAAAAAAAGUAGAUUACAUUAUGUAAAAUUUACAAUAUAUUUGAGAGUCAGUUAUAUUUUUUGGUAUUUUGAAACUGUAAGAAUUUGAUCUCAAGUAAUUAAAACCACGUAUUCAGUACUUUGCAAGUAAAGGAGAUGAUUGUCGGCUAAUUGCCAGUCAUUUGCUAUAUAGACAAUAGUAGCUUUCAUUGACUAAAUUUAAAUUACACGAAUAAAAGGUGAGGAAAGAGAAUUAAGCUAUUUAUUCAAUUAAAUAACAGUGUCUCAAAUCAUAACUGUCAAUCCUCUAAAUGCAAACAAAUAAUUUGAAUAAUAAAUCUAAAGGAAAAAUCCCUUUUUUUUUGGAACAUUAAUUCUAGUAAGUCUAAGGGGAGAGAGGGGAUUUGAACACUGAAUCUCAGUCCUUUAAAGCCUAAGCUAUUAAACAGAAAUACUCCUUUUGUAAUUUAUAUCACGCAACAGAAUACUAUAAAACUUAUUCCAUAAAAAAAAAAAAAAAACUUACCAUGAAUGGUGUUUUAACUUAAUUGCUAACUUUCAACUGAAUCUUCUGUCAGGCAAAAACUCUAGUAAAAUUCAUUAAAAGUCAUCAUCAGAGUCAUCUAUGCAUCUGUUGACUCAAUCAGAUUGAUCUAGCCGCAACAACACAACAAAUGCACUAUCUAUUUGACAUGAAAAGAAUUAUUUAUUUUGGUAUUGGUGGUGAUAUAAAUAAUACCAUGUCCGUCGGAGAUGUUACCAUUCCCAAGCAAGUUGCCCACAAUUGCAUUUGGGAUAUGGGAUUUACUCAUACUGUCAGAGAGGAUGUCACCCUAUCAAAUCACUGUGGUGGUCAGAACCCGUUAGUUGUGCACCAUCUGAUAUUAGGAAGACUAAGAACUCCUUUUGCCAAUGGUCUUCCCCUUGCCAGGAUACCUUAGAUUUAAUGUGGACGACUCCGCAAAAGGAAAACUUUGUCCCGCUAGGUGUGGCGGUGUCCUCCGAAAUGAACAAUGAUUUGUCCUUGCCAUGAUUUCGGGCCUGGUUGGUAUCUGGGAUUCAAACGUUGCUAAACUUUUCGAAAUUAAAAUGGCUCUAGAGGUAUUCGCAAAGACAGAGUGGUCUCACAAGAUGAGUCCGAUUCAAAGUUUGUUUUUAACUGGGUCUCAAACGAAUCUGCUCGACCAUAGAGGCUAUAAAAUGUGUCCUUGGAGAUUGAUUCUUUGACCACAAAGCUGACAGAAUUUAAACUCGUCAAUACCUUUCGCGAAGCUAAGGAGAUGGCGGACGCACUGACAAAAUCGGGAAUGGAGUAAUAUGAUCGGUUCAUGGUGUGGUGGCAGCUUUAUUGGUGCUAAGGUGUUUCAAUUCACAAACUUAUGUCUUGAAUCAGGCGCUGAUCUAUUGGGAUAAGUUAUUCCCUGCAUGUCUUUCUCAUUGCUACAUGAAUAAAACAAAACCUAAGUUACCCAAAAAAAAAAUCAACUAUUUUCCGUCUUUUACAAGUUUCUUGAAGAUGAUGUCAGCUAGCUAUAUUAAUCAUUUUGUUAGCACAGAUGGGACCGUGGAUUCUGCUGAUGUACCGAAAGGAAAUGGAUCUUAUCUCUUGGAUAUAAUAAACAACAAUUCUUUUUAAUUUUUAUUAAAAAAUAUACAUAUUAUUUAAUAACAGCAUAUAAUACGAAUUAUAAAAAUUAUUAUAAUUAAUUUAAAAAAAUCAUGAAAUAAAUUAUAUAUAAUUAAAAAAAAUUAUUGAGUUUAAUUUCAAAUGCAUUAAAAGGAUUUUAAUUUUGAGUUUUUUAUAUUGAGGUAUGCUUAUUUUAAUUAAAGGAAUGUAAGUUGUUAGUAUUAAUUAAUUAUUUUAGUAUAAAUGAUCUAAAAAAAAGUUGAUUAAUUUUUGAUAUAUUAAAAUAAUUUUGAGUAAGUAAUUAAUUAUUUUUGGACAAAAAUUAAGUAGUAAAUUCAAAAGAAAAUAAAUAGAAUCUCUUACAUUUUAUUUAUUUAUUUUCAAACCUCUAUAUAUAUGUAUAUAUAUUUUUAAAUAAGUGAAAGUUUUAUUUAUUUAUUUUCAAGAUUGUAUUGCAUCUCGAUAUUAAGGUAUAACUUGUAUAAAUAUUUUGUCUUAUGUUUUUUGUAUAAAGUUUUUUAUAUAUUAAUAUUUUUAUUUAAAAUAUUCUCAUGGGUAUCAAAACUAAACUUUUAUUUAUUUUGAUAUGUUUCUAGUUGGGUUUCAUAUGGAAGGAAAAAAUGGGUUGGCUCAAUAUUUUUUGAGCCUAAGAGGAUUUUGUGGCCCACUAGUACUCUUUAGGAUCAGAUCCGUCAAAGUGGUAAAAUUGUCAAUUCAAAAUGCCUGAUGCCUUCUAAAACCCAAACGAGACUCCGAGUUGAUGUAACAUUGCAUCUCAAGUUUGGCAGCUGCUUAGCCGAAUCCAGAGACUGCAGGAGCUUAAGCAGCAGCCAUGGGUACCCCAUUUUCUUUAGCUUUUCAUAUCUAACAUUCAUGAUUUAAUAGCUAGCUGGCUCUUAUUUUCUCUAUUGUUUUUCGUUAAUGGAAGGAUUUAAAUCAGGGAUCUGUUUAUUUGUUUAUGUAGAGUGAUGGGUUUUUCUCUGCUUGAUUUUUUUUCCUUUAUUUGAUUAAAUCUAGAAACUUUUUGAAGGUCUGGUUCUGACUUAUUAUUAGUUUCUCAUCUUUUUUAUAUAUUUUAUUACUACAUUUGCCACAUUAAAAAAUUAGAUGGUAAGUGGUAGAAAUGGGCUUUUAGUUGACUGGAAGUCUUUUUAAAAUGAAAAGGGUUAUAUUUUAUUGCUUUUUUGUAAAUAUAUUUUGAUGGAUCAUUGUUUUGGCAUUUUGGGUUCUGAUUUGUGAUGAUUUUGCUUUUUGGUGGGUUUUUUUUGGGAAAAUAUGGGCUUACAAGUACGUGUCAGACUCAGAGCUGUGGAGGAAGAAGCAAUCUGAUGUGAUGAGGUUCUUGCAGAGGGUCAGGUGUAGGGAGUACCCCCAGCACCCUUCCAUUGUUCGAGUUAACCACCCAACUCGCCCUGACAAGGCUCGUCGCUUGGGAUAGAAAGCCAAGCAGGUAAGCUGAUUCAUUGUUUCUUUGAUAUUGCUUUCUUCCUCUGCAUUUUUAUGAGGUUUGGUAUUUUAUCUUUUAAUUUUUGGCUUAUCCUAUUUGCUUUAUUGCAGUUGUAACAUAUUUUAGUUAUAUGAUUAUCCUUUGGUCUGAAAAACUGCAUUGCAAAAAUGUUUAUGGCCGGACUUACUUUAAAUGUGAGACGACUCAUAUGUUGCUAAUAUAGUUGAAAUAUAUAUAUAUAUAUAUAUAAAUAAUUAUAUUUACAAAUAAAAUAAUAAAUUAAAUGAUUUUAUGAUUGACAACAAUAAAAUUGUUAUGAAAGGUAUAAAGAAAUGUCAACAGUAUUCAUGUAACAAUAAUACGAAAGGUAUAAAGAAAUUUCAAACAGUAUUCAUGUAACAAUAAUAGUUGUUAUAAUUAAUUAAAUUGGUUAUAUUAAAAAUUUACUGCAAUAAAAUUUAUUGUUAUAAUUAAAAAAUUAUUGCAAAAAUAAUUUUAUCAACGACAAUAAUGAAUAUGUAAAAGAUUUUUCAAUGAUUAUAAUCGUUGUUAAAGUUAUUUAUUGAAAUAACAAAAAUCAUUAUGCUAAACGUAAUUAGUAACUAUACGUGAUUAUGUUGCAAAAUAAAUUUUUGUUUUCGAAAUUUAUGGUUGUUAAAAUAAAAUUAAAGCAAAAACAUUUAAUCGUUACAAAAUAUUUUAUGUAACUAAAAUAAUAUUAAUAUGUAAGUUUUUAUAAUCAAAUUUUAUGGUUGCAAAAUUAAAUUUAUAGAACCUUAUUUUGUUGAUGCAAAAUUUUAUACAACGGUAUUUUAUCAUUGCGAAAAAAAUUAUUUAUUUGGCAACAAUUAAAAGUCGUCGUAAUUUUUCUUUUUCAACAACACUAUAAGUUAUUGCGUUAAUUCUUUAUUAACGAGGUUAAUAGCAACAAUAAAACAUUAUUUCAAAAUAAUUUUAACAAUAAUAAAUAAUUAUUUAAUAAUGUUUUGGAUUGUUGUAAUAUAUCAAUUUUCUUAUAGUGCAAAUAUAAUCAAAUUAAGCACAAAUAUGAAAAAGAUUGUUCAUCACUUCAUUAAAUAAUUAAUGGCUAAGUGAGUUAAACUAAUAAUAUAUCAAUGUUAGAUAAAAGAAAAUAAUUAUGUACUACAAAAAAAAAGUCAUUUUUAUUGACACUUAUAAAUAUCAGUGAAAGAUUAAAAAAGUGAUGAUAUUAUUGUUGCGGGAGAUUUUGACUAUCCGUUAAAUAAGUGUUGAUGAAAACUUUUUUACGGUCAAGUCACCAAUGCCAGAAUUACACAUGUACUUGCUGAUAUGUUUUUUUUUGGUAUUUUAAAUUACUGUUAUAAGUAAACAACUUUUAAAUGUAUUUUAAAGUGUUGGUUAAAAUCGCAUUUUAUUUAAAGUUUUAUAUUAUCGAAUGAGCUAUAUUGAAACUUAAAAUCCUCCUUAAAAGUCUUUGUUUUUUUUUUUUUUUAAAUAAUUUCCAUAUUUCUAAUCUUUGUAACCAAUAAAAUUAAAAAAUAAUUCAUACCAAUUAAUAGAGAACACAGGUAUGAGAAAUGAAAGUCUGCAAGUCACUUUUGCAAUUUCUGGCAAAAGAACAUUUUUAGAUUAUUUAUUUCCCAAAUUUUGCUUUCCUGAUUACAGAAUAAUAAUUAACUGACAUGUGCAUCACACUUGAAGUAUUCAAACAUGGUUAAACUCAGACAGAGACCUCACAAAUUUUAUAUCAGUAAAUAUCAUGAUUCAUAAGUAUUAAAAUCAGCAAAAUUCACUAGCAAUGUCAAUGUUUACAAGCUAUUAAGAUCAUCAGGUAACCAUCAAAGGCAAAUUGCAUCCUGAUACCAAUCCCAUUACAAUUACCAAAACUACCAAAACAUCAAAAAGUUAUCAAAUUACCAAUUAUCAUCAAUAAUGCAAUAGCAUCAUCCUCAAAGGUUCCAUAUUUCUUUAGUUAUUGGCACAUAGUAAUCCCAAUGAAUUCGAUGAUCUGAAACCUGCAAUAUAAUACAAUUUCUGGAUUAGUUCAAUCAUAAGGACCACCUCAUAUUAGUAAAGUAAGGGGUUUUUUUGUUAUUUUAGCCAAUAUUCUUCUACAAAUGAAUAGUAAGGCCUAUAGAGCUGAACAGCUAAACAAGAGGGGUUUGACAACUGCUAGGAAAAAUAAUACCACCAUCAGUGUAGGUAAUUUACUCAAUAUACUGGCAAGACGUGGUUUUAAAUUUUAAGCCAGAACUAUAAGUUGAAUCAUAAACUUACAGGGUGAAAUCCACCUUGGUGUAGAAAUUCGAGAGCAGCAUGACAAAAGAAACCAAACCUUUCUGCAUCUUUUCUGCAACCACAAACACAACCUGUCCAAAAGAAUCUGCAAGCAACAAUACACCAAAGGAUUCUUAUGAUUAUAAUUUUUUUUUUAACAAAGUGAAACAUUGUAAUUCUUAAAGGUGCUAUAGGAGUAUAAAAAUUACCCGUUUUCUGGCUCCACAAAAUAAACUGAAAGGCCUUCCACUUUUCCAAACCAAACUUUAACUUCAGUGCCACCCCAAGAAUAGCCUCUUUGGUAAUGAAUAUCCUUCACCUAUAUCAUAGAACAUUCAUUUGACAGUUCUGAAAUUAUUAAAAAGACAAGUUUGAGAAAAGUAAAGAGAUGAAUGAAUUGUUUUAUAUCUUUUUUGAAUAUUAAGGUAUGAAUGAAUGAAAUCGAGAAUCUGAUUAUAUGACAAUAAACAUCUUUUAAGUAGCAUUCCCAAAAUUUUCAUUAUGUAUAGCCCAAAUAAAGAUGAGGGCAGGGAAGCCUUAUAUGAAACUUUUGUUUUCUGGAAAACCCAAUAAGAAAAGGUUAUGCGACAAUUUAGUGCCGAUAUCUUAUUAAAGGAAAAAUGCACUUCAGCCACCUCAUGCAAGAUAGAUAACACCACACGCAAGCUUACAAACAGCAUGCCUAGUAAGCAAGAAUACAAAACAAAAAAAUCCAUAAUUUAAGGAAAUUAGGGAAAUCCAGUGAAAACAAUUAAGAUGAAAAAUGUGGCUAAAGUGAUGGCAAUGAAGUUUACAUGGCCAAGGUUCAAGCAGUCAUACUUUGGAAGAAUGAUGUCCACAUUGUUGUUUAAAUCUUGAACAGCACGCGAGAGACUUGUAACGACAUCACCCGGAUCUCCAACCCGUAUAGUUAUAAAAAGGAAGUAAUUGAGAAAAAGAAGGAUAAUGGAAAAUCUUUUGGGUUUUUUUCUACAUAUUCGACCACAAACUGGAAAUAAUACAACACAGAUGUCUAUGAUGUUCCAUUUCUGUCUGUGGUUCAGCAUCCUCUCCCCCAACUGUCUCAUUUCCAAAACACUUUUAAUUAGGAAAAGACAUGUCUUUCUGGCCUUCUUUCAGCUUAAAGAAUUUUCUCUUCAUUAAGAGAAAGAAUCUGAAUGGACUCAUAAGCAAAGAAAAACUAGAAAAGAAACCUUGAUAUAUAUCAGGGCAAUAAAAAAAGUUUUAAAAACCGAAACUCCCUUAAUGUCCAAAAGUUACCUUUACAGUAGGCCCCAUCUCAACAGCAAUAUGCACAAUGUUCAUUGGUGGCUCUUGCACAAUUCCUCCAAAAACAGGUAUUCGAUAAUCCAUACCGCCUUUGUUGUCAAAAGUUCCGGCAUCUUCCCUCUCAGAGAAUACAAACUCCAUAUAUGCAUCCAAUGGAACCUUGACUGCAGAGUCACAUAAAGUAAGUCUUUAAUAGAAAGAUUUAAUGCAACAAAAGCCAAAAAUAAAAAAGAACGCCAUAUGUUACCUAAGGAGAUGAUAUAAAGCAACAAUUGAUAAGUCAACAUGCCUAAAACUUAGGCACAGAUUGAAUUCCAAAUAAUUUAUUAGUCUGGAUCUAUAAUUCACAUUUAUUCUCUUGGACCAAAAGAGCUUUCAAGGGGAGUGCGCCGGUACGCAGAAGAUGAUAAAAUGGUGAAUGCAAACAGCAGAUGACCCAAGAAGCGGUACAAUUUUCUGUUCACUAAAAUUGACCAUAAAGGAUACUGAUAGGUGAAAUAACUCACAAACUUAUUAGAGAGAAUGUUAUUUUAAAAGCAGUUGAUUAACUCAUUGAUCCAUGAAACCAUACAGACAAAGACAAUUAAUGCAUGCAUCCGAUACGAGCUCAGUUAUUGCCAAAUAAUUAUGCAUCAGAGAAAAACUUUUAUGAAAAGCAUUUGUUUGAAAACCAUACUUUAGAAACUAUUAAAGCAGUCAAAAGUGUACUUUUUGACCAAAGACACCUCUUGGUGAAAAGAAAUCAACACAGGACAAGUCAAUACGUGAAGACCUAAAGUUUGGUUGCCGAGUUACUAAGACAACCUAGUAAGGAAGAAAGCAUGAAGCCCACAAGGGGAAAUGAUGUUCUUAAUAUCACAUUCAUUGUACACAUUGUGUCAUGGUCCCUUACAAGUCAAUUCACAAGAUUUGCCAAAGAGAUUUACCUCACAUUAUUCCGUUGAUUUGAUAUAUUUGUCAUCUAAACCUACAAAAUUUGCUCAAUAUACCUUCUUAAGAUUGAACGACUUAUUAUGAUAUUUACAAAAUUUUUAACUCAAACUCACCCUACGAAGACUAUUUAGUCUUUACAAAUUGUACAGUCAUAGUUCCAGAUAUAAAAAACAACCAAUUAAAAAUAAAUCCACAAAGUUCAUUAGUAUUUCUGAACUUAAUUCUAUAAGCACCAAGUCACUUGAAUGUUCAUGUAUUUCUCUCUCUCUCGAUGACAAAUAAUUUUACUCACAAGCCACCACAACACCAAUCACAACAGCCAAAACAUUCGACUUUAAACUCUAAUACACAUGAUCAAAACCAAUACCGUCCAAGUUAGAAAGUAAGAAACAUAGAGAGCAAACUUUUGAUUAGAGAAAUACGAAAUAAGAAAGAAUGAGAGACAUAGCAGCAUACUAGUGACCCAGAAAUCCAACAAUAUAGUCAUAGACAACUAAAUAUAUUACUACCAUAUGUGUUAUAAAAGGGGAUCUUGACUUCAGGCGAAAAGAGGCACACAUGUUUAUUUGCAUUUGUAUCCAAGUAUAUCCUCUUAGAAAUUAUUGUUUCCUCUUUGUUUGAUAUCAUCACUAUUUCUCCACCUAUAGAAACCAUCAUAAGCUUAAAGUGCCAUAAGUGAUGAUCAGUUAAGACAGAAAAAAAUUGUAUCAUUUCCAGAAGGAGAUUUGACUUCAAAGUUUUUGUCAUUAUUAACACUAAGAAACAGCAUAUUUCUAUUAGGAGAUUAUGAGCUGGUAAGAAGCUCAUAAUUAAGGAGAUCAAACCUUAAAGCUAAAGGGUAGAAAAUAAAAACUCAAUAAUGUCCUUUAAUAAAGGUACACAAAUGUCAUCCAAUAACAACAAGGCGAAAAGAAAUUGUGCGGAUGGUAAUUGGUUAAUCACAUACACAAAAGUUCACAAAUAACCAAUUUCAUCUAGUACGAGUAAUUAAGUCAUAAUUAAGACGUCAUAUGUGCAAACCAAUUUAUACGUUCGAAUAACUUAUCAAAAGUAAGCUGCCUUUCAGAAAUUAUUCAUAGUCACCACUCAACAACAUCCUAAGUUCAAAAUUAGUUCACACAUUAUACCCAAUUACAAAAACACAAAAAAAAAUAAUAAUAAAUUCAAAAUGAAAAUCAAUAAAUUAAAACCUACCUUAGAUAGAUUGGAAUUGAGAUUGAGCUUGACCGAACAUCAAAAUCAAGAUAAGCUGUAUCAAGUAAGAUUCAACCUCGAUCAAAACAAAACAAUUUUGUUAGCCAUUUCGAUUAUUACAAAAUCAGAAUCAAAAUGAAUAGAAAGAGGAAGUACCGGUUUCGAAACGGCGCUGAUGAAGAAGAUGACAAUGAUUGAGCUGAAACUAGAGAGGAAAAAAUUAGGGAUUUUAAAAAAUUAAGGAAAGAUUCAUUAGAUUUUUGUCUCAAAACUGAUUUGAAAAACAAUAGAUGAAAAAACAUGAUUUGCAGAGAGUGAUUAGCCAAAAAUCGCAGAAAUGCAGAGGCUUAGCAGAGAGUGAUUCAUGUAUACCUAGCUACAAGCAGAGGAAAUCGAAGAAAUUGUAGCAGAGAUUGAUAGUGUUGAUGGAGAGUGGAGAGAGCAAGGGAGAUUUUAGAAAAAAAAAAGAAAGAGAAAUAUGAAAUAUGAAAUGAGAGAAAACAACUGAAAAAAAAAGAAUAAUACAGGUAAAUGCAUUUGUUCAGUUUAGAUCUAAUCAAUCCUAUCUAUUCUAAAGAGCAGCCAUAUAGUUCCAAACAUGCAUUUUAAUAUUUGGGAUGUGAACUUUAUUGGGAUUUGUAUUCCCGUGUACAAAUACAAUAGAUCUCUCUCUUUCAGUUCUCACUCAAGAGCUUUCAUGCAAAUCACAUUUAGAGAAGAACACCAGUACUCUUUAUGACAUGAUGUUGAAGGAUUUUAUUCCUACUGGAAUUCACAAGUGUACGUGCUCCUGUAUCCUCUGGAAGGACAACUGCAAGUAACACAGAAUUUACAUGAUCAGCCUUCUUUCUUUCUUUCUUUUUUCUAUAAUUUAUAUUUUUGAAAAUCAUUCUCUAACCACAAUAAAAUGAAGAAAGAUGAACAUCGACAAGCUUACACUUGCAUCUAUUAUUAUUAUUAUAUCUCAACAUGUCAACUAAAUUUGGUUGGUAGAUAAGAUUGAAGACAAAAAUCAGAAAAAAAUUUUAAAAAAUGCAUAUAGUUCACAAAUUAAGAACAUGUGAUAAUAGUUUACAUACUUAAAUAAGUGUGGCCAAGUCGAUGAUAAGUGACUAAUUCCACGACAUUUCAAAAACCUAAGAUGACAAAACCUUAUGAAACCAAAUCAAGUCAAAUUCAAUACUGCCUUAUAUACAUUACGGUGUUAUUAUGACUCAAAUAUAUAUAUAUAUAUAUAUAUACAUAUAUACAUAUAUAUAUAUAUAUAUGUAUUAUUUGGUUACUAAGAAGAACAAGAAACUUACGGAAAUAACCAUUGAAAAGAACAAAAAAUGUUGCUUUUUCUAAAGAGUGUUAUCUUAGGAAUAUUUAAUGUUAUUUGUAUGGAAAAUGUUUAAUUAGUUAUCCGAAAAAAGAAAAUAUUUUUAAUAUAUUUUUGGAUAAUUGAAAUAUAAUAAUUUAUAAUUAAAAAGCAAUGAAGGUACCUUCAAUAUGGACACAAGAUACAUAGCUGUCCUGCCAAUGGUCUGCAAGAAAAAUAUCAAGUUCAAAUGAAAAUUGUCUUGAAAGGUGGUAAGAGGCAUUCUAUGUACUUUUCAAUAAUCUUAAACUAUAUACAAACAAUUGUGUAUCUUACUUUAUUAAUCCUUCUCCAUGUUUUUCAAAAACUCUCUUUUGAUAUUUUUGAGCAUGGAAACAACAUCCUUCAUAUUUAUCCGGUUUUCAGGUAAGUCAGAUGAACAAUCCAAAGCUAACGCCAUGAUGGACGAUAUACAAUUCACUUUGACAACAAAAUAUUCAUCCUCUUUAUGCACUAAACUGGAGUCCGCUACAUCAAUUAUUCCAUUAGAUAGUGACAUUUUCACCCAAUGUCUCAUACUCAUUUCUCCAGCAAAAGAUUCAUCAGUGGGCCUCUUUCUUGUGAAAAUUUCCAUGAGUAGAAUACCAUAACUAUAAACAUCACUUUUUAAUAGAAACAAUUCCUGCUGAUCCAUAUUCUGCAUUUUAAACAUAAUUGAAUAAUUAAAAGAUAUUAUAUCUUCAUAAUCAUAAAAAAUAUGCUUAUGUUAGAAUAUUGGUAAAAAUAAUAAUAGAACAUCACUCAGUGCCAUGUAGCCAAUAGUGGCAAGUGUCCAUUGUUUUGUUUGCAUAGAAUCUUUCUUCUCCCAACAAUUUGGAAAUGCCAAAAUCUCCCACAUGGCAACCAUGUCUUUUGUCUAGUUAAGACAUUACUUGGUUUUUAGGUCACAAUGGAUUAUAGGUGUUUGGAUGUCCCAAUGGAGGUAUUCUAAUGCUGAUGCAACAUCCAUCAUUAUGUUGAUUCUUUGUAGGAUAUCCAAGAAAUAAUUGUAAGAAUAUAACCAUUUCUCAAGGCUCCCAUUAGGUAUGAAUUCAAGCACUAAGGCUUUGAAGUCAAUAGUAGAACAACAAGUAAUGACCUUAACAAGAUUGCGGUGAAAGAUAUUGCUCAUCACUUCACAUUCAAUCUCAAAACUCCUAAAUGCUCCAUCUCUUUGCAAAUUAAAAACUUUUAUUGCAACAUUUGUCCCAUCUAAAAGUAUUCCUUUGUAUGCAGAGCCAAAACUUCCUGAACCCAUUAAGUUGUUUUCACUAAAUCCGUUAGUCCCUUCCAAUAGCUGAUUAUAGGAAAUUCUUCUCCAUUUCUCGACAGGAAUUAAGUCUUCAACAAUCGCCAAAUUCGUAUUCCCCCGCUGCUUUUUUUUAUAGACAAUUAUGACUGCAAUAACUAUUAUUAUUGAAGCAAAUGUUGGUAAAACAUACCUCAAAGCAUGUAGAGCGGUCUUCUUGAAUUUCCGAUGGAUUUUAUUUUUGCAAGGUGAGACUUGUAGUCUAGGUGAACCGCAGAGUGCAUAAUUUUUCAUGAAUGAUUUGGCAGUGAAGUUUAAAAAGGGACCUCCACUUGGGAUUUCCCCUUCUAAUCUAUUGAAAGACACAUUUAAAUAAUUGAGAUCAUGAAGUCUUUCCAAGGACUUUGGAAUGACUCCAGAGAAAUUGUUGUUAGAUAAAUCCAAACUUUUCAAACUCAUCAAGUCACCGAAUGAUUCAGGAAUAGGACCUUGUAAUCUAUUACUAGCAAGAUUCAAAACCUGUAGAUCAUGUAGACUUCCAAUUGUGGGCGGAACAUCACUUGAUAAUAAAUUCCUUGACAAUUUCAAAGAGAUAAGUACCUUCAAAUUUCCAAUGUCAAGUGGAAGUGAACCGCUAAGAUUGUUUGAUGACAAGUCUAUUUCUAAAAUAUAUUUAAGGCUCCAAAAAGUCAAAGGUAUUUUUGAAUGCAAUUUGUUGGAGAACAAGUAUAGAUAUCUCAGAGAAGUCAAAUCACACAAACAUGUCGGUAAAGGCCCAUCAAGCUCAUUAUCACCUAAUGAUAAUUUGUACAAUCCCUUCAAACCACAAAGAUCAUAUGGGAUAGAGCCUUGUAACUUAUUUCCAUAAAGACGCAAAAGUUGGAGAUUUUUUAGCCUUCCUAUUGUUGUUGGAAUAGGUCCACUCAAUUUAUUAGAGGAAAGGUCUAACAAUAUAGCCUUGCUUAAGCUACCAAUUUCCAUGGGAAUGCUGCCUCUAAUUUUGCAAUCUCUAAUCAAUAAAUAUUGAAGUGAUGUAGAGAGAUUUGAGAUAGAAGUUGGAAGAAUACCGUCCAAUGCGUUGGAUGAUAGCUCUAAAUAUCUUAGGUAGUUGCAAUUUGCCAAGGAAUAGAGAAAAUUCCACUCAUGAGUUGAAGCUUCGGUGUUCAAAUGAUUAAAAUCAAGGCGCAAUUUCUCAAGGAACCUCAAAUUGCCAAAUGUAUUUGGUAUAAGGCCAGAGAAUGAGUUUUCUUGUAAUUCUAGGAUUCUGAGCUUAGAAACAUUGGAGAUAGAUUCAGGAAUAUUUCCACUGAGAUUAUUCCUCCAUAAGUAAAGCUCCUCAAGAUUUGAAGCAGAGCUCAUGUGUGGUAAUUUACCUAAAAAGAAAAAAAAAUAAGUUUGCAUCUUCCCAUACAAGAAAUAAAUUAAUUGUUUUGCUUUAUUGCGUUUUUCAUGAAUCUAUGAUGCAAGCUGAAGUGAAUGAAAUGCUUACAUAUACGAACAUGAAUGAGGAGAAACAUGAAGCCUUUUAACAAUUAUAAAUAUGAAACAACUUCAAGUUUAUCUUGGUUGAUUUAUAAAAUUUUUUCAUAUUUAUAAAAAUAUAUUAAAAGGCUCCAUGCUUACGUACGUAUAAUAAAGUAAAAAAGAGGAAAAAGAAAAGUAAAAGAACAAACGGAAGAUAGAAGAAAUUUUGGUUGUGAGAAUUUUAUUUUCUUUAACUUAUCUCAAUUGCUUUAAUGAUAAAAAAGAUUAAAGAAAAUUUGGUUAAUGAAAUUGUUCCAAAAGGAAAAACAAAUAAAAUAAAAAUUGAAGAAAAUAAAAAAUAUAUAUUUAAAUUAAUUUGUUUGAGAAAAGAAAAAUAUGAAAGUGUAAAUGUUUGGAAAUAAAAUUAGAAUUUUUAUCUAUCCUAUUUUAGAAAAAAAAGCCCUCAAGAGAAAUGAUAAAAUUUCUCUCAUUUUAGACUAUAUGGAUAGUUUAAAAGAAAAAUACAAAGAUUCGACGAAAAGAUUGUUAAAAGUACAUGCACUCACUUUAGUUUGAAAAUCACUCUCUUACUUCCCUAAGGGUUGAUAGAACCUUACGAGUGCUCUACUAGAGAAGGUUCAUUUGAGGUUUGUUUGAGUAAUAUUGUAUACAUUUUACUAUUACAAUAAAAAAAUUUAGUAAUAUGAUGAUAAAUAAUGUGAAACUAAUAAAAAAAGAUUUGAAAAUGAUGCUUUUGAUUACACAAUUAGUGCUUUUUAGUUUGUAAAAGAACAAUUAAUUAAUUUCUCUAAUUUGACAACAAAAGAAAGGUAAAAGUAGCAUUGUUUUUCAUUGCAUAUAAUUAAAAUGAAAAUACCAAUUAUAAUUGUUAUAGUGUAAUUAAUUAAUUAUAAUUUAAAAUUAUGUAAUGUCUAUCAAAAUUUUAUAUAAAAUUUACAUUUAUAAAUUAUGACUCCUACGUAUUACUUUAUUGUGGUUGAAUAAUAAUUAUAAUAUUAUAAUAAAAAAAUUAUAGGUGAAAUACAAUCAUUAAAAAUUUAGGUAACAUUUGACAAAAAGUUGGUAAUAUUAAAACAAUCUCCCGGUAAAAAAGUUGUAGUUGGGAGAAAAUUGGAAAUUGACACGUGGUUGAGCAAUUAAGAAUUUUUUUUAAAAUUUUGAAUGUUAAUUUUUUUGGGAAAAGAGCACAACUAAAAAAAAAUCAUUAAUACUAUAUUUUAAAACAAUUAUUUAAGGGAUUAUCUAUUUGACAUUUUGCAUUAUCUCAUUGGAUACAUUUGUUAAUUGUUUUUAAGAUUUCAUUUUGCCAUUUGUUCUCAUUUGAUUGGUUGGUUUUUGUUAAUUUUAUAUAAUUAAUCGUAAGUUUGGUCCUCAAUUAUCAUAUAGACUUUACUGAUUUGUCUUAAAAGAAUGGGCUGAGUAAAAAAAAAAAAGAGUUUAUCUUUCCGAGAGUCUGCUCCAGAACUAGGUUUCUAUGGGUGGAGUCUCAGUCUUGUCACAUACAAGAGUUUUUUUCCUUUGGAUCAUCGGUGAACUUUGGUCUUUGGGGGUUAGUGCAAGUCGAGUUUAGUGGUGUUGAUUCGUUGGAAACGGUUGAUAGAGAGUCUAGGUACCGGAGGUCCUAUGGAAGACGACCUGGACCAACUGUGGUUGGAACUUGUCAUUCACUGAGGAAGAGAAAACAGGGAUGGAAGUGUGUUAUGGGGCCAAUACAAAUGAGAUGGGUGAAGAACACAAAUGGAUGGUGGACAAGAUUAAUAUUGUAAGGCCAUUCAAUAAAGAUACAAUGAUAAGCAUUUUACUACUACAAUAAAAAAUUACGAUCACAAAAAAAUGUGAAACUAAUGAAAAAGAUUUUAAAAUGAUGCUUUUGAUUACACAAUUAUUAGAGGGUGAAAAGCCUUGCCUUAGUCCGAUUUAGAGGGGAAGUAACGUUAAGUAAAAAAGCUCUUCUUGGAUACCAUGAAGGCCACACAAGAACAUUACCUUCGGAGAAAAAAAUUUGUUACACUGUUUGUUGAUGGAAUUUUUCCAGGUUGUAGUGUCUUUAAUCUUAAGCAACAAUUUGUCAGAUGUGGGAGGGUGGUUGAUUUUUACGUCUCCGAAAAUCAAAUUUCUAAAUGGUUUGCACCUGAGGUAUUCCACUCUAUAUGUUCAAAAGGCAAGGUAUGAUCAAAGAUCUCAUGUUAGUUCUAAACCCACCACUCAGUACAUGGAAAAAAGGUGUUAUCUGCAUAGAAGACUUUAGAGAUGGACGAUCUCAUGUAGAGGUUGUUAAUAUGUCAGUCAAAUCCACUCAGUUAAAGGAUAACACUAUUUGAAAAAUUAAUAUUGUAAACACCAUUUUAUUAUUAUUAUUAUUAUUAUUUAU